rnacentral:lncRNA from 1 species
UUCUUUCUUCUUCGGAUAUAAUUAAUUUUCUUAACAACCGAAAUGGUUGGUGGGCUACCAUGAGACGGUAGUGGAGCGGAGCAGCGCGUCGUGGGACCCGUGGAUCUGUCGUCGUUUUGUACCAACUUUUAGCGUCAGCUAAAUGAACGGUGAUCCUUCGUUAGCGUGUUUGCAUUAAGUGCGUGGAAGCGUUACCUUCUUGGAAUUAGCUCGCGAUAUUUCCUCGUCACGUCGGCAAACAUCUCUAUAUAAACCGGCCCCCGGGCGUCACUUUACCGUGCUCGUUCCCUGAUUAUAUUAAACCAAUAAAAAAAAAAAAAAGAAACAAAAAAGAUAUUUAGUUUAGAUACCGAGGCUCCCAAUCUCAGCCUUCCAACGUAAGUAAUUAGUAACUACAUUCUUAAUCAUUAUCCUUGUUCUGGUCUUGAUUAGUGUUGUUGAUUUAGUUAAUUAAAAUUAAUUUAUUUGCUUUGAUUACGAUUAACAGAUGCAGAUCUUUGUGAAAACUUUGACCGGCAAGACCAUCACUCUCGAGGUGGAGAGCUCCGACACGAUCGACAACGUCAAGGCCAAGAUCCAGGACAAGGAAGGGAUUCCACCGGACCAGCAGCGGCUGAUCUUCGCCGGAAAGCAGCUCGAGGACGGGCGCACCUUGGCGGAUUACAACAUCCAGAAGGAGUCGACUCUCCACCUCGUCCUCCGUCUCCGCGGCGGCAUGCAGAUCUUCGUCAAGACUCUGACCGGGAAGACGAUCACCCUGGAGGUGGAGAGCUCCGACACGAUCGACAACGUGAAGGCGAAGAUCCAGGACAAGGAAGGGAUCCCCCCGGACCAGCAGAGGCUCAUCUUCGCCGGCAAGCAGCUGGAGGACGGCCGCACCCUGGCCGAUUAUAACAUCCAGAAGGAAUCCACGCUCCACCUUGUGUUGCGCCUGAGGGGAGGAAUGCAGAUCUUCGUCAAGACGUUGACCGGGAAGACGAUCACCCUGGAGGUGGAGAGCUCCGACACGAUCGACAACGUGAAGGCCAAGAUCCAGGACAAAGAGGGGAUUCCUCCGGACCAGCAGAGGCUCAUCUUCGCCGGCAAGCAGCUCGAGGAUGGCCGGACUCUUGCCGAUUACAACAUUCAAAAGGAGUCCACUCUCCACCUUGUCCUCCGUCUCCGUGGUGGUGACUUCUAAAAAAAUAAAUGUGGAUGUGUCCGCGUUUGAUUGGAUGGCGCUAAUAAUAAUUAAUUAGGUUGGAUUGGGCGCUUUGCUUUAAUUAUUUUGUAAUUACAAUUGUGUAAUGGCCAGCCGCUUGGGCCUAAUUUCCUCUUUCUAUUGGUAAUAAUAAUAUAAGCACUAGUUUUUAAAUAUAUAUUCUCAAAUUUUCUCAUAUUCAUUAAUUUUUUUACAAUUUACGCAGCAAUAUGAAUCCUGGAAUAAUUAACAAACUAAAAACUGUGUUCAAUUUUAAAUUAGAGACCAAAAAAAAAAAUGCCACGGUUUGAUUCUUUAAUAAUUCUUUAAUAAACCACGUGACGCGAUUAAGCACACCCGUUGUUAAAAUAAUUAAAUCGAGAAGCCGUCUCAGAAAGCGACAAAGAAGAUGAUUGAUAUAAGCCGUUGAUCUAACUGGGGUCCAGUUGCUUUUGAACGGUCCCAGAUGCGACAAACUGAUCUUAGUGCGCUCUCAAGUCUCAUCAGUGAGCAUUAACAUUUUGUGGAAAGCAGAAGCGAAAAUGGGUCGCUUUCCCCUUUCACUAUAUUCCCUUUAAGUGUAAUAAGUAGGGUUUUUGAUGGUCGACUAUUGGUCAAAUUAAUCGGGGGGGGCUUAUAACCGAAAGCGAUGUUCGCGAGCCGGCCAGCGGUGCACCCAGUGGAGGCGCCACCGUUGACUGAGGCGGCGGGACCUAGAGUUAGAAUGAAGGAUGUGCAAGGCAUGCCUGGGACACCUGGCGGCCUCGUUCUUCGUCUUCUUCAGUUUGUUUUCGCAGCCAUAGCAGUCUCUGUCAUGGCCUCCACCAGUGAUUUUCACGAAGCCACCGCUUUUUGGUAACCAUAUUAGCUUCUGGGCUCUUCUUUCUUUUACGGAAAGCCAUUUUAUUUUAUUUUUUAUUUUUUGGGUUUAAAGUAAUUUUAGAAAAAGGGGUUUCUUUUACCAGAAUCAGAUUAGGUGAAAAUUUCUAUUUGAUUGAAAAUUAAAGGGUUUUGGAAACAAUUGGGAAGUGACAGAGAAAUUCAAUUUGAUUAUUAGGUUUAGUGCACUUUUCAGUAGACGGCAGAAUUACGCUAACAGCAAGAAAAGAUCAGCAGCUGAGAUUCAAUAAGGAGAUUGCCUAAAUUUUAUAGCUUCUUUUGAACUCUAAUAUAGUUUCACUAUUGUGGCAAAAGCAUCUUAGCAUUGAAGUUGAGCUUAUCUUACAAAUACAUAUCUUAUUUUUUUAAAUGUUCUGUUGCCUAAAAUGCUUGGCCUGUAAAGUUAGUUUGAAUAUAAGCCAGUUAUUUCUUGCAUUAAAAUUUAUCCUCUUUAUUUGAAGCCAUAGCAUGAAUAUGACAAUGUUUUUAUUCAUUUCCCUGUUUCAGCUACCUAGUUCUUGCUCUAGGCUUGCAAAGUUUGUGGAGUCUAUCCCUGUUAGUGCUUGAUAUAUAUGCUAUCCUGGUGAGAAGAAGUCUGCGGAAUGAUAAGGUUAUCCGUUUAUUUACCGUUGGUGACGGGGUAAGAUAACUACUAUUAUCAUGCCUGACAAAUGUAAAGAUGAAUAUUUUGUGGAAUAUCUGUAGAUCAGUUGCCAUUGGUCACCGGUAUUCCAGGAAUCUGGCCGCCUUUAUGUCUCAUUUUGUCAUUUCAUGGAUCAGUAUUGUCAGCUUUCCUCAAAUCUAAUAGUAUGUGAUAGACAUGAGCUUCUGGUUUUGUAGCUGCAGCUUGUUGAUGCUAGUUAUCUGCUAUAAAGUCUUCUUUUUUUUUUUUUAAUUCCUGGCAAAUGUUUGUUUACUUGAAUUCAAAAUUGACAUAGCCUUCAUUGGUUGCACAAGUAUUUUGGCAUAUAUUACAAUCUCAAUGGUUUACUGUUAAAUUGGUUUUAACGUUCCUUUCGUGAUAGUUUUCCAAGUGAGUGGGGAGUUAGAAUUUAUUUCACAUAACUAGAGAUCGGCUUUAGCUUUACAUUGUUCCAGUUAAUACAGAGACAACAAACAGUUUUUUUCAUUUUGUAGUUAAUCAUGAAUCAGUCUUUCCUUGGACAUAAUUCCUUCUGAGAGAGGAAAUUUAAUUAGAUAUGAUUGUUUUGGCUAAUUAGAUGUUGAUUUUGCAUAAUUACGUUUACAUCCUACUUAGAAAAAGAUUACAUAUUGCUAAGAGUUAACUAUUUAGAUUAAUAACAAACACUUCUACAUUUAUCUCAUCUAUUAGACCCAAGCAUUAACAAUGGGUAAUGUCUCGGUGCAGAUCACAUCCACCCUUACGUAUGCAGCCGCCUGCUCAUCUGCAGGAAUCACAGUUCUUAUCAGCAAUGAUCUUAACCGAUGUGGAAUUAACCACUGUACAAGGUUUGAGACUGCUACGGCAAUGGCUUUUAUCAGUUGGUUUGCUACUUCACCAUCCUUUCUCCUGAAUUUCUGGUCAUUGGCUUCCCACUAAGAAUUGGGUAGACAAGAGUCCAUAAUCAGCAAAGAACCACUAAGAAUUGGGUAGACAAGAGUUCAUAAUCAGCAAAGAACCAUACUUUCGAUGCACAGAUUUUCCUAUGUAACUCCAGCUAUGGAAUUGAUUAAGUUGUACCUACUGUGUACAUAUAUAAAGUUUGCUGGAUAUUUUUCAAUGAACAAACAUAUGAAACGUGGAAUGACUUUACAUUAUCCUUUUAGCCCUUGUUAAUGUUCUCCGUGUGAAGUUGCAUUGCCUGAUUAGUUUCACAUUGAAAUGUUUUAAUUCUCAGAUCUCAGUAGUUUCAGAAAGUGUUAUUUUUUUUUUUUUCAUGUUUCUUCAGGAAUCUGUUUUCAGGAGAUACCAUUAGUCAUUUUACCCUUCUACCUGACUCCUUGAAGCAGCUACUCUGGUACAUAUGGUUGAUGGAAUUUUGUUAUUUACAUGCAUCUUGAUUUGCUGUCACUGCCUGACUGCUGUGUGCAACACUCUUGGCCCGGAAAGUCUUGAAUUGAUUUUUACAUAAAUAUAGGAUUCAUUCUAAUCUUUGCCAGUCUAAGUAGCGCCCUCGAGCCUCCAUGGGGCUCUUUCUUUCCAUAAAAUUUGUAUAGGGAUAGAUAUCUCCCCAAAUACUUGUGGGAGUAUAGUUCCAAGAUGUAUGCUCAGUAGUCUUUGGGCUGUACUUCAAGUGUAUGCAUAUAGAAUCAUAUAUCUGGCCAUAUGUUGAAAUCUUACACGGGGAUUAUGAUUUUCUGGGGAUUUGUGUUGAUCUUUUAUCUGAAGAUAUGUGUGGUCAUGAAUCUACUCUGCAUAUUUUUCUGCAACAAGCAAAGCUGAUUAUUCUGUUAGAAGAGCAGCAAUUCAAUUCCAAGGUUCUGGGACUUGAUAUUUUGCAUUACGUUGAUGCUGAUUCUUCAUUGAAUGCAGGUUUUAUAUUUUUCAUUAGUUUGUGGCUUAAGUUUUGUACAUCAAUCAUCAUUUGCCUUUGUAUAGUUGUUGGACUGCAAUCAGAAAAGGUGUUGCUAACAAAUCCUAGCUACUAUGCAAUUAAUUAUUCAAUGUUUAUCACACUUGUCAGUAGUAAUACUUUUCUCAUUUUUCUCAGCAAGUUAUUUGGACUUUAUGGCCAUUUUAUUUCUUGUUUGAUACGACCUUCAAAAUAUUCAUGAAUCAGCAAGUUUAUAACUAUAGUGUCAAGUUCAUGGUACCGCUAUCCCAGGUACUUUCUCUUUUCUGCAAUGCAUGAUCAUGCCCCGAGAUUAUGUUAUCAUUUAGCCAUAACAAAUUUGCUCUGAUUAUGCUUAUAACAAGCUUCUUGUUUUUAUGAACUUAAUUAUGAGCAUGAUGGAAUGGAAGGAUAUCGAGCACUUGACUUGAUCAGUUAUCAAUUGGGAAUAAUCAAUCUCUUGAGGCUAUUUCAGCAUCUAAGUGUUUUUUCUGAUGAGAAUGAGAGAGAGAGAGAGCAAGCAUCUAUAGAUUCUGUCAUUAAUUAAGAAUUCAGAAGGAGAGAGAGAAUAACUAAAAGAGGUUUGAAUUAAUCUUACUACUAUUUGCUAAAAAAAGUAAUGAGAAUCAGUUAUUUAUAAUAAGAAGUUAAAAAUAAACUGGCAGGUCUCAACAUCAUACUUUAUCUUAACUCUGAUAGUGAUAUUGUCUCAUUUACCAACACUCUUACAACAUAAAUUUCAAAAAUUUAUAAAUAAAAAUAUUUAAUCUAAACUAUUAAAUCAAUUAAAAAUUAAGCUUUCGCUUAUAAAUAAAUUAAAUUAUAAAAUAUUAUAAUCUUUACUUGCGGAAAACGAACCAGGGUAUCACAAUUUUAAUUAAUUAGACUGAAAUAAAUUGAAAGUUGAAGCUUAACCGUUUAAGAUUAGAAGAAUUCAAAAUUUCCGUUUAUGAUUAACCUAUCCUAUUUAUUUCUCAGUUACUAAGAAAACCCACUUCAAUUUGGAAAGGAAGUAUUUUUAUUAUAUAUAUAUAUAUAUUAGUAAUUUUUUUGUCCAAAAUUUUAAAGUGUGGAUAAUCUUUAAAACAACUUAUUGAAAAACAAGAGGGCUUCUGCAUACCCAAAAGAAGCACCUGGUUCAUGCUUUUGGACAUGGUUAAGAAAAAUCCUGAGCCAUCCUUGCUUGUUGUCUAUUAUGCCAAGCUAAAAGAGAUAUUCUGGUUAUCGUCAAGUCAUCUUUGUCAUGCUUAUACAUGGUUCAAGCUAGCUUUUUACACUACUCCAGAAGACAUACAGUAAGAAUUUAAGCCUAAAGGAUUUGCAGCUAAUAGCAUCAUUUGUUGUUUUGGAUGCUAUUAGGAGAGGUGUUGUAGUAUUCGGUAAUAAUUUGGGCGAUGGUCUGAUUAGGGAUCAUCUGAGUCUUUAAAUGAAAUCAGGGCCACAAUAAUGUAUCCUCGUUCUGCAUCAAAGGUAGGUGAAAUGUUAUCUGCAGGUUUAGGUGAGGUUGUGGAUAAGGAACAUGAGAGACUUGUUGCUCGGAAAUCAAUCAUUGAGAAAUUGAAGCUGGAAGAGCACAAACGCCAACUUAUUGAAAUGGAAUGGGAGGAGGAGUCUAGGAGGAUGUUAAGGCAACAGAAGAAGACAGCGGAAGAGGCUGAGCAGAAAAGGCUUGCAGCUGAAUUUGAGCUAAGGAAAAAUCAAAGAAUCCUCCUCAUACAACUUGAAGGAGCACAAGCACUGCUUGAUGAGGAAGCUGAGAAGUGUAGCAGUAGUAAAAAAAAGGAAGCCAAAAAGCCAAUAAUGGAUCAGCAGCUGAGGGAGAGGCAAGAGAUGGAUAAAAAGUUACGAAAACUGGCUAAAACAUUGAAUUAUUUGGAAAGAGCAAAAAGAGAGGAGGCCAUCCCCUUGAUCGAAGCUGCUUUCCAACAACGGUUGGAGGAGGAGAGGGUGCUUCAUGAAAUCGAACAACAGCAAGAGGUUGAGUUGAGCAGACAACGCCAUGAUGAAGACCUUAAGGAAAGCAUAGGCUUUCAAGGUUGUUGGAGAAAAAGAACAUAUUCCAAGAAAGAGUGCUGAUGAACCGUUGGAUGCAGGAAGAGGCUGAGAGACAAAGAAAGGAAGAACCGGAACACAAGGCAAAAAUGGAUUAGCUUGCUGCAUAACAGAGGCAAAGAGCGUUAGAGCUCGAAGCAAAACAACAGCACAGAAGACAAACUCACUUGGGGAGGCUGGAUCAGAGCCUGGAACUGCUGCUCCUUCUCAGAAUUAAUUAUUCAUAAUUUUCAAAUUUUUCUUUGUAUGGCAAAAAACCUGAGGAUUUUUCUUUUUGCAGUCUCAAGCAGUUUACUCUUAACAAACCCUAUUAGUAGCCAGAAGGGACAAACUCUCUUACUUAUUUUCUGUAUAUUGGAUGGAAAGCUGUUUUGUCAUUUUCUUUCUCAUGAUUUUGUGGGGGGACUGGUAAUGUUGUUAGUUACACUGUUGAUUAUAUUUUAAGUGUCAAAUCUCUUGUUAUGGCAAGAGUUUUAUUAUCUUGUUAUUGGCUCUGUUACUUCUUUCUAGGAGUAGAAGUGGUUACAUAUGUUUCAUUAAGUUUCUCUUCACAAGAAUUGCGUUUACAUGUUUAAAGGAGAAAGGCAAUGGCGGCAAGCUAACUGUUUAUUCUCUUCUACUUUUUAUUACCUCUGUAACAGAGGUCGGUGGUAACGGCCAUAUUACAUUUCUUUAAGCAACCUCUUUUCAUGUUAAUUACAUGCUCUUAAACACUUAUAUAUACUAAGGCUGCAGGAAGCUUUCACAUAAUCAACAACAUUGUCAUACAAAAUAUGUCCAACGAACAAGACGAUGAAAGAAGGCUGUAUCAAUGUGUGAGGAAGUACAAAAUAAUUGUGAAGCAGGUAUUUGUGUAACAAGGAUACUUACAAUAUAAGCAACCAUUACAUUCUAUAAUAUUGUAGCUUAUUUAUUUGCAAUGCUUAGCUCUAUGUAAUUGGAAAGUGACUGAAACUUUUUCGGCUCGACCCACAGUUUGAUGAGCUGAUUGAGAUGAUGAGUGCCAGAACAAAACCACCAAAACGAAGAAGAGUAGCCUCUGUAAGUUUCUUUUUAAGCUAUAAUUGCAGCUUGUUUAUGCAUUUCAGCAUUACCAUAUUUGGCAUACUUUUUGUGUGUUAAUAGUUUGGUUUCUUGGUUUUUUAUAGAUAUAUGGAGGAAGCAGCAGCAAUGCUGCUACUACUACUGCCCCUGCGUCCUCAAGUCAGCCAGACCAAAAUGAGGUAUUUGUGCAGACGAUAUCGAGGUUUCUCCAGGAUCUGAGAACUGAGUCCGACUCUACAACAGAUCCUCAUGGUUUGUCAAGCACAAGAAAUCAAAAAUAGCUAACUAACUAUGAUUUUAAGAUUGGAAAGAAAGGCUCCGGAACCAGAAAUAUGUAAUUUCAUCAGCAUCUGACUAUUGUAUCUGAUCAUCCAAUAUUUAUGAAUGGAAGAUGGAGGUACAACCCGAAAGUUGGGGAGACUAUCUACCGUCUAACAGGACUAUUCAAUUUCUGAUUUUUCCUUUGUGUGCACAAAAGAAUCUCAAGAUAAAAUAUUGCACUAUAUACCAGAAACCCAUUAUAUACCAGAAACCCACAAGAAAUGGAAACAGCAUGCUGUUGUUACAUGGAUCCCCUUUAGCUGAAAAAAAAUAAAAAUACUAUGCCCAGACCACAGUGUACAUGGAUGAAAAGAAUGAUGGUAUACUGAAAAAAAAUGGCCUUUCGUAGUUGAAUAACUUCUUCCUGGAAGUUGCGAACUCAUUGGGCAAAACUUAUGACUACAACUUCUAUCAGGCAACCACUGACUAGUUGCUACGUCAUGAUACAUAAUUCUGGUGAAAUCUAUUCAACCUUUCAGAAACCAGUUUAUCUAUCAUGAGCUGCACUUCAUCUUCUGAGCCUCAAGCUGCUGAUUUAAGACUUUUAUCCUUUCAAGCAAGGCUUUAUUUUCCUAGAAAUAAUAAAAACUUGUUAAAAAAUAUCAAAAUCAAAUGAAGAAAAGGAAAGAAAAUUGAGGUGACUAUACUCGAACAUAAUAAAUGCUUUUGAUGAAAUCUUUAGGCCUUGUUAAGAAAAGCCAGAGUGAAGUUCAUUUCAACUGGAGCAAAGUAUUUAAUACACUGAUCAAGUUAUUUCAUGCAAAACUGACUAAAUCUUGGUGCUCCCUAAGUGGCAGAACGAGAAAAUAUUUGAGGGAUAAGAAAUUAAAUACUAAACAAAUUUCAAAGGUUUUGCCUAUAGGGGAAGAAACAGUAGUAGCCGACAUUGAGAAAUGAGAGAUUGUAGCAUUAAAGUGUCACCUUUUGAAGCAUUACAAUUUUUUGGUUGAUGUUAGCAGGAUCCUUGACCUGCUUCUCAAAAGAUUCCUUAACCUGUUAAAUGUAACAAAUAUUAUUCAGUCCCAAUGUGUACAAUACAAACUCAAUAUUUCGGCUCCUAAAUACAAAAAUGAGUAGUUAUCUGCAGGCAUAUUGUUACCUAAAACACAAGCUCAAAAUAUAGUAUAAUAUUGAACAAAAUUGAAUAGUUGUUCACAACUGCAUUUGCUUAAACCCAGGGAUAAUGGUAAUCCGAUAAUAUUUCACUAAUAACAUCUUUAAAAUUCAAUGCCUGCUUUGUACUUUAUGUCUAAGUCCUUUUACCAGUCGUCAUACUGGAAAUGUCCAAUGAAAAAUUAAAGAAUUAAUUUUACCGAACACUUUGCACAACAUGAUAACUCAGACGCAACUCAAUGAGUAUUGGUGCUAAUGGAAGAAUAGAUGACUUGCCUGACUAAAUUCAUCUGUUCAGACCAAUAUAAACUGACUAUAAACAUUAGAAAGAUACCCAUUAACAAAAUUAAUCUAAUCCGGCAAAUCCAACUGUUAUGCAAAGUAAACCUAACUAAACGUGACAGGGAAAGGCAAAAUACAGCAUGAAAAUUUCCCACCACAUAUCUUAUUUCUAACUAACUGACAAUCAAUGCAUUCUUUAAAACACCUAGAAAUCAUUAUAAUCCUAAUUAAUCACACAGAAACAUUGCCAUGACCAGAACAACUGAAUUCAUACCUUGUUUAGUUCUUGAGUACACUUGGUUACCCUCUCCACUUGUUUAUCAUAUUUGAGUCUCCAUUCUGCAGACUCAUCCAUUGCCUCCCUAUUUGCAAGAUCAAACUGUCUCCUACAAUAUUACAAUUCCACAAGAAAACCCAUUUCUUACAAUUACAAGAAAAGGGCAAAAUCAGUAAAGAAAGAAAACUUGUAAAACAAAAAAUAAAAGAAAACCUGAGCAACUCAGUGUCAGCAGAAGAAACAGUAUAAUCGAUAGUCCAGAGCCUCAAGUAAACGGCGGUACCCAUUAACAUAACUAUCACCAAACCCACUAACACGCGCGCCCUCCUCCCCCUCAUGUCUUAAUUUUCUUGUUUGGUGUCUCUCUUUCUUACUCGUCUCUGUUAUUCGCUUUGCCUAACAAAGACAAGACGACGCCCCAGGUAAGACGUUCGUCUCAUGAUAAGCAGACAUGUUAACCGGCGUCAUUCGGGUGAAUCGGGUGCUCUUGAUGUUUGCUUGCCAUCCCCUUCUUUACGUUUCCUAAAUCACAUCGUUUCGUUUGUUACGAUGAGCUUUGAAUUGUCCCCUUUCCAAACCAUAAUGACAUACAUAUAUUUAGUUUUCUUUUAAUUGAUUACAAGUUGAAUAUUAAGAAAAUAAAAAAUUUUGAUGGAUUUUUAGAUUAAGAAUUAGAAGGAAAUAUUAAAAGAAUUAAAAUUUUAUUGAAAGCAAUUGUCUACCCGUAGAGAUGGCUAGGGUGGGUUAAGGAUGCGUUUGAAAUUGAGUUUGGGCAACUGUAGCUUAAAAGUUACAGUAAUAAAGUGUUUAGUAAACAUUAGUUGUCUGUGAAUUGGAAGUUAUGUUGAUAUGAUUUUUCACUUGUAUAAUAGAAAAUCUAUUAUAUCUUUAAUAAUUUUAUCAAAAUUAUUAUUUAAAAUUUAUAUUUACUAUAUUACUAAUUUUUAUUUCAUAAUUACAGUUUUUUUUUCACAACAAUUAUAACAUUUAAGCUACAGCAUCUCAAUUCCAAACGCACCUUAAAAAAAAUAUAUCUAUAUAGUUGAUCCAAAACGAUGCGCUAGGUUUUAAAAUUAAAAAAAAAGAUCGGUUUAUAUGAGAAAAAUUAAAAAAAAUAAAAUAUAAAGAAAAUUACGGUUAAUAUUAAAAAAUCAUACAAAAUCAACUCGGUUUAAAUCAUUAUUUUAACAAAAAAUUAACGGUUCAAUUAGAUUUAAAACCGAACCGAACCGUUGCCCACCCUGUAAACUGCUGGUACUUUCAGUUGAUAUGGUAAGUAUUUUAAGGAGUAAUCGGCGAAUUAAUAAUAAAGCUCGCAAGUCGCUAUAGAUAGCUGGUAGGUUUGGUAAAGAGACUCGCGGGUAUCAGCUAAACUGCUUUUUUUUUUUUUUUUUUUUUUACUUUUAAAUUAUUUAAUUUGUUAAAACAAUUAACUGACAUAUGGCCGGAAGUGUGGGGUUGAGAUGACGGUUGGAGUUAAAACGGUUUUAAGGUCAGCUGAGGAGUAUAACAAAAUGUACUUGCUGGGGAAUAUAAAGUACAGGGGCUGAUCAUCGAGAUUCUUUGGAUUACUUGAUUGGAUAUUAGGGAGCCCCUAUGUUUAAUGUAACAUACAAUCUCAACAACAACCACAUAAAUAAUGGGCGCACAUAAUUUAUGUGGUUGUUGUUGAGUGUGUAUGUUACAUUAAUUGUAACAUAGCAUUUGCCUAUUACCAAAUCUUGUUAACUUUGCUGCUGCUGUACAUGUAACCAUUAGACCCGUUUGGGGCAGCUGCGCUGCCACCGCGCAGCUGCUCCCCAGGCCAAUUCUGGAGGAAUAUUCUCCUAAAAUUGGCCUGGGGAGCAGCUACGCGGUGGCAGCGCAGCUGCCCCAAACGGGUCCCUUGUCUAUUGUAGUUGGAUCAAAUUUCUUCAUUUACUUCGGAUGCAUUAAUAAUUCCUUCAUCUUCUUUGAGAUUCAACCACAGCACUGACAACUGAUUUUAUUUUUUCUUUCUUUUGUGUCAAAAGUCUAGCCAAAAUGAAAGUAAAAUGGUUUAGAAUUUUAAGUGAAAUGUCAAAUUUGUAAAGAUCUGUGAUUGGUUGUGCAAGAAACUGAAUUUGACAAUUUCAAAGAUGGCAUGUUUAAAAAUAGAGAUAGGCAAUUGUAUCCACAAAUCCACCCAAAUCCGCCUGCUGCGGAUAAUUUUGCGGGUUGCGGGCGGAUUUAUUAUUACAAAUUAAAACCCGCAUUUGGAUGCGGGUGGGUUUGGUAUUAGCCCAAUAUCCAGCGGAUACCCGCAUGGAUAUCCGUUAAACCCACAAUAUUUUUUUAAAUAUUUUUUAAUUUAAUUUUAAUUGAAAAAAUAUUUAAAUCUAAAAAAUAAAUAAAGAAAAUAAUAAAAUUAUUCAAAGUACCAAAUAACCAAAGUGUAAACGCGUGUACCAUAUAUAACAAUGCAAGUAGCAUACAUGGCCCUACUAGUCAUAACCUAAACUAAACUAAAGGGAUUUCCCCUUGAGCCGCGCUGGUAGUGUCGUUAGGGUGCACCAAAUUUAAAAUCUUACUACUAAUAUAAAUAACUAUUACUGAGCGAGUAAGGAUCAAUCCUACAAAGACUAUGUUAGUUGUAUUUAUUAUCAACUCUAAGGCAUGAUUUAAAAUAAAAUAAUAGUAAUAAUAAUAAUAAUAAUAUAAAUAAAUCUUACUAAAGAAAAUGGCAAUUAUAAAUAAAAAUUGGGGUUUUAUGAAUUUUUAAAUAAAUAGCAAGAAAUAAAGAAAUUAAAAACUACCAACAAUAAUUUAAUAAAAAUCUAAUUAAACGAGAAAGAAAUAAUAAGGAUGAAAACUUUGGUUAAAAGAUCAUUCACCACCACCAAACAUGCACAUAAUAUAUCAAUUCGAUUAUCAAUUUAUAUUGAAACUAUCAACUGUAAACAACAAUAAGCUUUGUUAGUCUCAAUCUUUCCUUAGUGUGUUAUUAGGCAAAAUAAGCUCUUAACCUAAUCUCUAACCAUUAAAUAAUUUAAAAUAAGCUCUUUAAAUUUAAGAUAAUGGAAGCAUUAAGUAGAAAAAGAUAUUAGGUUAAUCUAGGCAAUAAACACACAAGCUCGAAUUAUUUAACCUAUGUUAUGUUUUCCAAUUGAAAUUAUUGAUUCCAACUUGCUACUGAUGAUUAAAAUAUCAAGACAAUUACGGAUCAAGAAUUUUAAUGUAGCAAUAGAAUUUAUUCAAGUCCUGUCUAAUUGGUCACUCAAAUAAAACAAGAAUAAAAUCAUAAACAUUAAUUAUAGAAGAACAUAAACAAUCUCAAUUAAAUAAAUUGAAUGAUAGAAAUUGAACAUUAACUAUAUGACAUGUUUGGGGUUUUGAAUUCACCCUCAACCAAAUAGAAAAUCUAGCCUAACAUAAUUGAAUUGAGAAUAAAAGAGUUAAUAAAACUAGUCAUGGAGAUUAAUUAAGCAGCUAACUCUGCUUCAAUUCCUUUCAGCUUCUUCUUUCUUUUUCUUUUUUGGGAAAUUAUCAUUUUACUACCAAAGUUAUUCUGACAUAUCAUGUCAGUACCAUGGUUUGCCGAAAAAUGUAUUUUACUACCAAACAUUUGCGCCGUUAUCAAUUCACUACUAUUCCGUUAAGAAAACGUUAAUGUUUAACAAAAAUUGAGUUAAAAGUCGAUUUUACCCUUAAGAGUUUAAAAGACAAUUUUACCCCGUUGUAAUUUAAGCAUUAUAUGUCAUAAUAACGUUAGUAGUAAAAUGAUAAUUCCCCUAAAAACUUGGUGGCAAAAUGAUAAUUUAUUUAUCAAAUUAACAGAUAAUUUUACUCUUACAGCUGGAAAUGUUUUUGAUGCCCUUAUGCCAUCAACAAGACAUCAGUAAAUUUUUAACGUUCUUAACGAAAUAGUAGUGAAUUGAUAACGGCGCAAACUUUUGAUAGUAAAAUACAUUUUUUGGCAAACUAUGACAUGAUAUGUUAAAAUAACUUUAAUAGUAAAAUAAUAAUAUCUCUUCUUUUUUCUUGCGGCUGCUCUCUCUUCAAUACCUCUUGGCUGCUGAUUUUUUGAGUAUGUGUGGCUGCCGAUUCCCUUUAAUCAAAAGCCAAAAGUUGGCUUUUAUUAUGCCCAAGAUUGGCCGAAUCCUUAUUGGAUUUUCUUUCCAAUUUAAAGGCAAUUGAUUUUCUUCCCUUAAUUGCCAUUCACAUGCCACCCACUUUGACAAUUUCCUUUUUCUUCAAUUUGCUCUCCAUAAUUAAAUCCCAUGCACGUGAACUUUAACUUUGGCAAGACAAACAUGCAAUCUUUUUAAAUUGGUCAAGUGAAUCCAUGCACGCAACUUAUAAAGCCACGCACAUUAAACAAGUUUCCAUUUUAUGAAUGCUUGUUCCCAAAGUCUUUAUUAAUCUCCAUGAAAUUUCAUAUGCUUCCGAAUGUGCAUCAAUUAAUUAAUUGGCUUCCAAAAAUCUUCAGUUAUUUCCUUUUCUAAUUCCUUCAAGCAGAUUUCUUCUUAACUGCUUCGAUUUAAUUUCUCUUUAAUCCCAGCAUAUACCUAAAAUAACAAAAUAACAAAACUAAGAUAAAAAUUAACACAAUAAAAUAUAAUUUACUAAAUUAAAAUUAACUAAAAUAACUAGAAUAUUUAAGAUCAAAACAAGAAAGAGAUGGAGAAAUUAGUAGCAAAAUAUAUGAAAAAUAUUCACUUAUCACGCGCACCCAUCUCUCAUCUCUAUCUUCAUUCUUCACUUCUUUAGCCGUGAGCGUGUGACAGUGAGCUAGCACCCAACUUCCUUUACUGUUGACAAAUUCUCCUAAUAAAUUAGAGGUGGGCAAACUGUUCGGUUCUAAUGAUAAAAACCGAAUGGUUUGAAAACUUAUGAACCGAUUGGUUUGUAUUCGGUUAGGUCCAAAACCAAACUGAACCGACAAACCGAUCGGUUCACUUGAAUUAAUUAAAAAUAUAUUAAAUUUAAAUAUAAAAACCUAAAAUCUAAAAUUAAUUUUCAAUCCUAAUUGCUAAUUCGUAACAAAGAACAACCCCAAUCAGUAAAUCCCUAAAUCGACAUCCAUCUCUUAUAGUUAUCAGCGGCACGACAAUCUUUCCCCAUCGCAGCCUCUCACGGUGACGUCGUCGCGGACGCAGACCUCAAGCACGAUCAUCUCGCGAUCUCACUCGUCUCCCGUCAGCCGACUCAGCUCGUUAGCUUUAGCCUUCGCCGUUCAUCCCACUGUCGUCAGUCAUUACUCAUGCCUCAUUCAUGCUGCUUGUCUCACUCUCAUCACUCCAAAUCGUUUGCAGUCAGCCCGUCAUCUUCUCUAUUGCAGUUUUUUUUUUUUAAUUUAUGUUGUGUGUUUGUUUUACUUUUGUUUGAAUCUUGUGAGGAGUUGCUUUUGUGCUGGUUGUUUGAAUCUUGUGGGUUGCGGCUACUGCAAGUGUGAAAUCGACUGUUGUAUAUUACUUUGGUGGUGAUGGUGUUUGAAUUUCGUGGGCUGUAUUGCUUUUGUGCUGGUGUAUAUUGCUUUUGUGCUGCUGGUACUUGAAUUCUGUGGGCUAUAUUGCUUUUGUACUAGUGUAUAUUGCUUGAAUCUUGUGGGUUAUGGUUAUCAAAAGUGUGAAAUUGGUGUGUAUAGUGAGAACCCCUUCUGCAGUUCUGCGAAUGAAAAUCCAGAAGAUGUAUGAAGCGAACUGAACUAUAUUUCGGUUCAGUUCGGUUCGGUUUUGAAAUCAGUUUCUAUUCGGUUUGAAUUCUUAAGAACUGAUCAGUUUCGGCUCGGUUCAGUUCUGGCUCCGAACCGAAAAACGCCCACCCCUAUAAUAAAUAUUAAUUCAAAUAAAAUAGGAAAUAACAAAUUCUUCUAAUAAAGAAGGAAAUAGCAAAUUCUUCGAAGAUGAAGAUAUUGUUGAUUCAUGGAUUAUUAUAUACUUAUUUUAAUUUUGCAUGGACUAUUUUUCUUUAACUUAAUGCAUGAAUUAUUUCAUUAUUAUAAUUCUUUUCUUCGGAUUAGUAUUUGAAAAGUAUUAUUCUUUGUAAAAUAUUAAUUUUAAUCAUUAUUGCAAGCAUCAUGUUGGAUGGGUGCUAAUGGUGGUGAAUGAAAUGAAGAUCUUCUCUUGGAGCUUGUGUUGAAUGAUAAUAUGAAAUGUAAUUGUUAUUUUUAUAUACUAUUUUGUGGUUUUUUUUAAUGAAUUUGUGUAUUUCAUACUUAAAUUUGAGAAUUUGUAUUGAAUUGAUGUUGAAAUUUUAAUUUUCUAUUUACAUUGAUUAAAUUUAUAAUUGAGUAAGUUAUGUGGAAUUUUAGGUUAUUAAUAUAAAUUUUUAUAUUAAACAUUUGUAAUUUUAAAUGUGAGAACCCGCAAAAAAUUCGUCUGGUACCAUUGCAGGUUUGGUAAUUAUCAAAACCGCAGUUGGUGGGUUUUCUUAAAAAAUUAAAACCCGCAACAGAUGCGGGUGUGAGUACAGGUUUAGUAAUUUAAAUUUUGUGCGGGUGCGGGUUUGAUAAUAGCAAACCCGCUGCGGGCGGUACUCAUUGCCAUCUCUAUUUAAAAAUGUGUUCCAUUGCUUGUUUAAAUAUUAAUUGUUAAUACUGUCGACAGUAUUUGUAUAUUGAUCAAAAUGUUGUUAAUGUUAAAUUUUUUUAAGGUAAAAACAAUGAAUAAAAUUCGGUAAAAACAAUGAUAAAAAACAAUGAAUUAUUAAAUAUUUGUUUAAUUUUUAUAUUUUGAUUCAAGUGUCCGUUUAAUCCCUAUAUAUUAAAAAAUACUUCAAGACAUCUUUAUAUUAAAUAUAUUACAUUUUUACCGUUAUUUUUUUCAUAACUUUUAUAGUAAUACCCUUACUACAAUAUUCUUGACAUUAAUUUCUUUAUCUAUUGGAAAAGUUAAUUAGCAAAUUAAUCAAUAAUUAUUUAUUAGCAAAUUAACUAAUAAACAUCAUUCUAAAAGAACUAGUAUUUUAUGAGCCCUUGCAACAAUCUUGCUAAUUAUUAUUCAUAAAUUAAUUAAUAUAAACCAACUUUAAAUAAUUUUUAAUACCCUUACAACAAUCUCACUAAUAAUUAUAACAAACUAAUUUACAAAAUUAAUCCUAAAAUUAAAAUAAUAACAAAAAAAUUACACUAACUUUUAUUUUACUUUUAAGGCUAAUUUGAUAAAUUAAUAUUGUUUUCAUUAAUAUCCCCAAGAAUAUUGUUGCAAAGGUAUUAUUAUAAAAAUAAAGAAAAAGUAAGAAUAUUAGUAUAACAUAUUUAAUAACAGGGUCCAGCUAUGUUGCAACAGUGGUACGGUACCACUAUUGCUUUCAACCAUUGGAUCUUGCUAAUGUAACUGUAUAACUAUAGAUCCAAUAGCUGGUUGUAACUGUGGUACCAUACCACUACUGUUGCAACAUAGUUUUGCCUUUAAUAACAAAUGUGUCUUGAGAUAGUUUUUCAAAUAUGAGAACUAGAAUGAAUAAUUAAGUUAAAAUAUAAAAACUAAAUGAACAUUUACCGACAAUUUUUUAGUUUUGAUAAACAUUUACCCGCAAAUUAUGUUGCUCCAGUGUAAAAUAUUCUCAUUUUUUUGCUUUUAAUACCCUAAUUACACAUUAUGGUCUCUUUUGUUUGCUAAAAUAUAAAAAAUAAUAAAGAUUUUAAAAUUUUAAUAUAUAAAUCCUAAUUAUUAUUAUUUUUUACUUCUCCUUCUUCCCCUCUUUUUCUGCAAGUUUCUUCCACUCUGCCAAAGAUCAAAAUUUCAAACAUGCAAGCAUAAACACUAGCAAAUUAAAUAAUUGAAUCGGGCGAAUUCUUCUGUAUUCCUUGAGGAUUGUUCAUAUUGGAGAACCAAAUAUUUAUAAAAUAAAAAAUAAAUAUUAUUGACUCUCAUGACUGACACUUGUCCAAGAACAUCUUUAUUCUUUUGCAAUUUCGCAUAACAUAAUUAACUAGUAAGGUGCCAAGAUUUUGGCUGAUCUGUAAUUGUAGUGGUAGACUCAAACACUUAAAUUAGGGGUGUUUGGUUUAAAAAAAUUUAAUUUAAUUUGGGAUACUUAUUUUUAUUUUAAUGUUCACAAUGAGUUCUGACAGCUAAAGUAAAAAUUUAUUACUAUUAUUUUUUAAAAUUUAAGAAAAAAUAAUAGAAUUUGAGUGUUUGAGAACCAAGUAUUUAGAGAAAAAAAAAAUUAUAUGACUACUGAGAUUUGAACUAAAUCUCCAAAACUACUAAAAUUCAAUUCUACCACUAAAUUACAAGUAUUUUGUUAUAUAGAAAAUGUGCCAAAAUUCUUUUUAUUUAACUCUUAACUAGGUCCGCCAAUGUAUAAGUGCAACACAAUUUGUUGAGAAAGUUCAUUUAUAUUAAGUUCAUUGCAAAACUAUAAUACAUUUAUUUUAAGUAUUGCCACAUCAUGCUUACCAGACUAAUUUAUAGCAAAUUUUACAAAUACUAUCUAUUAACGAUAUUUUCUGUUCUCGGAAGUAAAUCCACUUUGUAAUAUACAAAUGAAGAUGAAUAGCAUCUUUAGUAAAUAUCUCGCUUAUAAAUUAUAAUAAAUAUCGUGCAACAAUCAAAUGGUAUGGUUUUGGUAUUAAAUAUUUUUAUUUCAUUUCUAAAUUUUUUUAUCUAUUAAAAUCAUAUUUUAAAUUAAAUGAAGAUAAAAAAACAAUGCAAUCGAGAAUUUGCUACCUCAACGAAAUUUUAUGAACUGUCUUGAAACGAGAUCAAACGUUACUCCGAGUCCCAAUUUUAAUCGGGAUAAAAAAAAAUCAAAUAAUUUGAGAUUUAAAUUUUUCUGCCAUCCAUAAUUCAAAAAUAUUUUAAUUCCAAAAUUAAAAUAAAAACAAACAGAUGGAAAGAUGAAAAAAAUCGACUGACGUUUAAUUUAAGAAUCAAUGUUGAUGUUGCAGUGUUUUAUCACUUUAUAGUUUACACUAAGGUUGGUAAAAUCCAGAUCCGGAUGUAGGUGCAUCCGGAUCCGAAUCCGUAUUCGUAUUUCUCUAAUUGCAUCUGCAUCUGGAUUCGCAAAAAAAUAUGGAUCCUGAUGCGGGUAAUAUCCUAACGGAUGCGGGCGGAUAUUCUAAAUAUUCAGAUCUGUAAAAAUCAAAAUUUAAUAAUUUACUUAAUAAUAUCAAAUAAAAUUCAAUCAUAAUUCAACAAUUAAUAAUUAAAUAUGAAUAAAAUACAAUAACAUCAUAAAUCCACAAAUAAAAAUUAAUUUUUAAUUUUUAAUAUAUAUUUUUAAUUUAAGUUAAAAUCAAUAAUUUACCUAAUAAUAUCAAAUAAAAUUCAAUCAUAAUUUAACAAUUAAUAAUUCAAUAUGAAUAACAUACAAUAUCAUCAUAAAUCCACAAAUAAAUUCAAUUUUCAAUUUUUAAUUUAAUUUUUAAUUUAAAAUAAAAUUUAACCGAAUUUCGAUAUCUGAUUUUUCGGAUGCACUUACAUCCAAAUCAGCAUCUGGAUCUAGAUUUUAUUGCCAUCCUAGUUUACGCCGUCAUUAAUUUUAAUGGUGGAAACUAAGUUAAUGGACCUAAGCGUGAAAAUUCAAAAUAAUUCGAGCUUGUGGGUUAAAAUUGUGAAAUAUUUGGUUUUCUUUGCUUUUUCAUCAAAAAAACAGGGACAGAAAAGUUAAAGCCCAAAGAAACAUAUCCACACCGUCGGAACAACUUGUGGCUAGAUCCAACGGUCAACUCACAAAUGGACAAAAUAGGGAGUAGGUACAAGGUACCCGGACCCAAAAACAAUUUGAUUGACAGUGAUUUUUUUAGUUUUUAUCCAAUCCACCUUUUAACAUUUGUGAUUUAAAAUUUAGAACCCAGCGAAAAAAAAAAAUUGUCAGAUAUCAAAUUUACGUAGGCUUACAACUCUGUGCACUGUGCUUUCUAAAGAACAAUCCUUUUUUUAACUAGAGAUGGUAAUGGAGUAGAUAUGGAUUGAAUCUACUUUAUUUCAGAUCUAAAUUCAUAAUAAAAAUUAAAAUUCGUAUCUACUCCAUAUCCGUCAUGAAUUCAUAUUUUUCGCUCCAUAUCCAGAUCUAAAAAAGAAAUAAAUAUUUAUAUCUGCUCCAAAUCUGAAAAAAAAAUUAAAAUCCAAAUCUGCUCUAGAUCCGUCAUGAAUUCUAAAAUUCAGUAAUAAAAAAGUAAUAAUUUUUUAGAUUGAAAAUUGAAGGCUAAAAUGUAUUGAUAACAAAUAAAUUAGAUAAUUUUUCUCAAAAAUAUAAUAUAUAUUGUAGCUUAUACUUUUACACCAAAACAACAAAUAAGAAAGAUAAUAAAAUAUUAUUUAGAAGUAAUUACAGGAGUAAAAUCAAUCUAAUAUUCUAUUGUCUCAUUUAUCAUCCUAAUAUCCACAAUACACCUACCAUCAUUCCUACAACAUUAGAUAAUGACAUAUAAAUUAAAUAUGAUUCAUAUUCAGUCUUUUAUUAUUUUUAUUAUGACCACAUUUGACUAAAUAUAUGAAUAACUAUAUUCCCUAAAAAUUAUUUAGCCAAUAUAAUAAAAUAAAUUGCCAGGUUAUAUUACUUGGCUUGUAAUUUGAAUAUUGCAUAUACAUGCUUUGGGGUUGGCUGACCUUUAAAUUUACAAAACUAACCUUUAAGUUUUAAGAGUUUAAAUGCAUGGUAAAUACUAUUAAUAUGCUAUGAAUAAAAUUUAUUAUCAUUAUAAUUCCACAAUUGUUAAGAAACUUUUAAAAUAAAAUAAAAUUAAAAGAUGAGUGGAUAUGAAUAUGGAUAUGGAUUUAGAUAUUAAGAUAGAUCCAGAUCUGCUCCAGAUCCAUCUUAGAUCCACACAUCGAUAUCCAAAUCCGAUCCAAAUCCAUUUUAAAACGAUCCAAAUCCGAUCCGAUUGGAUUUGGAUCACGUGGAUUUUAGAUCAAAUUCAAUCCAUUGCCAUCCCUAUUUUUAACUAAAGUUGGUUGGUGUGAAUAGUUUAGUAUUUUUAUUUCUUAAGAGGAGUUAGGGAUUCAAGUCCCGUUCUCGUAUGAAGUCACCACUUUAAUCAGUACUUUAUCAUUUACGGGCCGACCCGGUGCGAAUGAGAAUUAGUCUGAAUUAUGGUACAGACUUAAAAAUACCUCCCACAGUUAAGGUCUACUCAAAACCACCUCAUGGUUUAGAGAAAAAAAAAAAAAAAAGAACAAUUCCUUUCAAAAGGUGCCGAGUCAGAAUCUUAUUCUAAUUGAGAAUGCAGCCACGGGAGGAUUAGAAAUGGAAAACAUUCCCUCCCCCCCCCCCCCCCCCAACACCUUUUUGCGUCUGCUCUUUCGGCUCAAGAAUGUUGAUUUUAAGAACGAGUAAUUGUCCUUCUCCUCCAACCCUCACUGUCCACUCAGCUAAUCUUCGUGGAAUUGCAGCGACAACCAUCAUCAAGAUUUACAAGCAUCGUAGACAUAAAAUUGACAAAGCAUUAGUUUGCGUACGCUUGACCAUUCAUCUCUUCGUGACAACUAAUGACAUGAACCGCUGCGGUGGCCCAAGUUUACUCAAUACGCAACCUUGGUAGGAAAAAUAAAAUGCAUUAAAAUUGAAAGCCACGGCCAACAAUUUCAAUCAAUCAGCUGCACCACCCCUUGUUUCAUCAUUUAUUAUAAUACAAACAGAAAAGUGUCUUAAUUACCAUGCGUUUGGGUUUGGCAUGAUCCACAUGAUUUUUAUAUUUUUAUCUGGUUGCCCACGUGGUCAAAACCCAGAUUAUUAGGAUAAUUUAUUUUUUUUUUCAAGAAAAUUUGGUAUUGAUGGGCUGACUAUUUUAUUUAGAAUUUUUAUUUUCAUAUUCUUUUUUUCAAUUAUAACGAAGUUUUAUAUGCACACAUACAUUAGAACCUCUUUAAACUAAUACUUGACAAGUUAAUAAUUUUUAUUAUGUAAUAAAUUUUUACGGUCUCGAGUCUCCACUUAGUCAAAUGAACUAAAUUAAUAUUUUUAAUAAAAUAAUAAGAUAAUUUUUUUUAAAAAAAAAUCAUAUGUAACUUUGUAGUUCCUUUCAAAUCAUAAAUUAAUAAUUUACUGAAAUUACAAAUAUAGUUUAUUAUGAUAUUUUAAUUACAUAACAUAUGACUAUAUUGUUACUUAUUUACAUGAGACAUAACUCUAUUGUUACUUUUUUUUUCUUAAAAUCUAAAUUUAAUUGGAUCUUAUUUUUUUCUUUUCUUAUUGCAUCUAGAAGCUCUAGGGUUCACUUUUCGAAUUGUAAUAAGAAAUUAUAAAGUGUUGUUAAUGUAUGUUGAUUGAAUUUGUAAGUAACCGACUACUUAAUUUUUCUUUUAAUUAAUAGAUUUUAUAUAAUAUCAACCCAGUUAAUUUAUAGAGGUUCUACUUGUAUAUAUUAUGGGUUCAUUAGAACAAUUUAUUCAUCACAUUAGCGUAGGAAAGAUGUUUCAAAGAAAUUUAAAGCUAUGGUAAUGUUGAGUUCAAAAGUUAUCUAACCAAAAGUUACCUAACGUGCAUAUUUUUUUUUAUAUCAAUCACGAGGCAUUCUGGGGAGGGCCCCAACUGUGGGAAGCACCUUUAAACCCGUACCAUAACUCAGACUAGAAGUCCCUGUUCGAACCGGGAGGCACAUAUUCUCCCAACAAAAGCGACUUCCUUAACGUGCAUAUUAAUAAUACACUUUUGUGUUCGAUUUAUCUAUGUGAAAGAGAGACCAUGAUAUCGAAGAUAAGAGUUUUCAUCUUUUCUGCAUUGAAUCCAGACUGUCAUCGAGUCCCAUGCAAAGUGGAGGCGAAUGAUCAAUUUCCUUCCAUCCUUUAUCUUUCAUCCUUAUCCAUUAAAAAAUAAUGUACAAACUGCAAUACGCAUUAUUGUUGCCCCAUAAAAUAAACAUUUUUAUUCCCAUUUAUUGUCAUGAAACAAAUUGAAGAAGAAAAGCAAAAGAAAAUGACUUUAAUAUUAUUGCCAUUCUAGAAGCAAGAAUAUUAAUGAUGAAUGAAUUUUUUUACUUCAAAGGGUUGUUUUAGCUUGUCAGUAGCUUUCGUGCCAACCACCAACUCUACAAGUCCACAUCUUCAUCUUCCUCAUUGUCUCUCCGAAAUUACAUUAUUGAAUGAAUUAACCCCAUUAUUUCAACAACAAACAAAAAAAAGUGGAAAAAUACUCAUCUAGUUCUUAUAAUCUAAACUAAUUACUCAUUUAGUAUAUGUAUUUUUAAGUAUACAUCAUCGAAAACCCUAGUGUUGUUACUUUCGUAAUGUUGGAUUCAACUUUUCAAUCGUGAAAAAACAUUUUUAUAUUAGAUAACUUAAAAUUUAAAUAAAUCUAUCCAGCAACAUGCGAAAAAUAUAUGAUAGAACAGGGACUAUUUAGGUAAUUUAUUAAAGUACAAAGAAAAACUUGAUAAUUAUUUUAAAUUAUGAAAGCUAAACCAACAUUUAUGUAUCUCAAAGUCAAAUAAUUACAAAAUGUAAAAAUUCAUCCUCUGAUUAUGUACUCAAAACAUCAAAAACUAGAGGAGCGAGAUAACAAAAUACAAGCACCGGGACAUUGAUUUGAUCAUCUAUUUCUAUCAAAAUUUCCAAUAAUUGAUCCUCACUCAAGUAGUAAUAAUAAAUAAAAUGUUUAAUUGCUGCUAAUUAAUUAAUUAAUCCUCAAAGCCAACUUUUUUCCAAAUUGCAUUUCUGACCCGGCGCAGAUCUCUUCCUUUCAAAGUCCUCCCUAUGCCUUCAUGAACAGAAAAUGAAGCUCCCCUCCUCAUGGCUAAAUAUUCAUGAGGAGGAACCAACCCGUAGUACUCUUCCUCCUUGUCUUCAUCGUCAUCGUCGCCGCCGCCGCCGCCGCCACCGCCGCCGCCACCGUCUUCAUCGCUCUCUCUCUUGCUAUGCUCUCUAUACUCAUCCUUCAAAAUCUUUGACCAGUCCGGUAUGUUCACCGGCAAUGAAGCCGCCGUCACGGGCAUUAUUUUCCGGUCUUCGAUCUUCUUCGCAAGCUUUCUUGAUGAACGUGAACUGGGUAUCGGCUUCUUGGCAGCCUCCACGUGAACAUUGACAUUAACAGACUCAUUGGGUCUGUACAUGUCAUCUUCAUCAAACUCAAAAAGAUUGUUAUCGGUAGCAGUGAUUGCGGUUUCAGCUACUGGGGUCGGAUAUAUGUAGCUUGGUUUUGCAUGAAAGAAUUUUCUUGACGAUGCCAUUGAAGAAGAAUAUUGAAAUGGUGAUUUGGUUUUUUAUGCUUUCUUUGAAACGGAGGAAGUUUGCAGACGUUUAUUAUCAGUUAUGUGUUUCUUCUACUCUAACUUAACUUUUGGGGGGUCUUUGUAUCGUUUGAUUGAGUCUCAUUUUUAUAGUGUAUUGGAUAAGCAUGAGCUCUCGGCCUUUGAAUAGGCAGAUAAUAAUAAAGUAUUGUGUGUAAAGUAAAAUGAAAAUGCUUAAAAGCGGGCACCCUCACGCGUUUAGCAUGAGCUCACAAAUCAAGUUCUACAAAACGUUUAAAAUGUUCUGCAGCCAAAAUAACGCAGCAAAAAAAUAAAAGACGUAGGAUGAUGAAUAGAUGAGAGAUAUUUUUGACGAUAUUUCGUUAAUUUUGAGAAUAUCUAUGAAUAAAAAAAUAACUAAAUUUAUAUUGAUUUUGAUUAUAAGUGUAAAGUUUCGUUGAUUCCACAUAAUGACUAGAGAUUUGAAUAAUAAAAUUAAAGCACUUGCAUGUAGAUAACAUAAUUUAACAACUCAUACAAUUUUAAAUUGAAAAAUGUGAUCAAUAACAAAUAUUAAGUCUCUAUUUAUAAGAAUACUAGUCAUAACCUAAUCAUAGUUAAAUCAGUAAUACUAGUCUAAUAAGACUCAUGGCUAAAUAAUAAAACUCUAAGUAAGAAAUUAAAUUAUUUAGAAUACAGUUGGAUUAAAAUAUCUCAAAAUAUUAUAAAUUUAAGUCUAUUUUUUUUAGCUUCUUGCGCAUAAUUACAUAGUCAAUAAUUAGUACUACAUAUAUAUUAUAUGGGAUACAUAAUCAAUAAUUAUAAGUGAAAUAUCACUUGAGCGACAGACUAUGUACCUCAAGUGAUAUUUAAAACGUUAAUCUUCCACCACGUAUCAUUAGAUGCCAUAUUUCUUGAGAAGGCAAUAUUAUGUAUCCUAAACGCAAAUCAAAAGGAGAGUCCAUAAUACAUUUAUGGACUCACCAACAGAUGAGAAUUCCUCGACGGGCAAAUAUACUCUUCGAUUUCCAACGGAAUGCACGUAGGAUAAUAAUAUACAAAUACAAUCCAAAGUAUGCAAAUUUCUCAUCACUUGAAAAUAUGACACGCUAUAUAAUAUUUUAUUUUAUAAAUCAAUUUUGCCGUACACAGCGGCACUGCUAAGUAGAUAACGUCGGAUUUAACCGGUCCGGACCAACGUACACGUGGACCAACGGACACUCCUUAUUAAAUCACUCAUUCGUCUGAGACUCAUCCGACUCAUUGUGGGGUCCACCGCCAAUCGCCGUCCAAUAGUGAUCCAAAUGUCAAUAUCCGGACACGUCAUGUAAGAAAUUUUACGCCUUCGAUGCUUCCAUUUUUGUCGCGCAGUGGUAAUGACGUGGCCUGUUCAUCUGCGGUCCAAUUAAGGCGAAAUUCAGAAGACACGUGUCACAAACUUGGAAGAAACGACAAAGUAGGGAGUGGUGUCACGCAUUAUCACAAAAUAAAUUGAAUAAAUAAAUAAAAAUUGACCCAUAUGUGAUUAUUCGCCAAUGUGUGAUUUGCCACCGGCGUAGAGUUUGGUUAAUUGAGAACAUCAAUAUCUGUGUUUAUGGUACACUUCAAAGGAUCUAUUGAGUAUAGUUCAAAAAUCUAUUAUCAGUAAUAAUAUUAAAUUUUACGAUAAAUAUAUUUUAUUUCAUAUUUUGUGAAAAAGGAGAAAAUUUUAAUGAGAGUUAGGGGUUGUUUGGAAUUAUUUUUGAAAGGUUUAAAAAUAGUUUUGAAAAAUCAAAAAUUAAUUUUAGUAUUUGAUAAAUUCUUUUAAAAAUCACUUUUAACAAAAUCGCCAGUUUUAUAUUUAAUGCAAUUAUACAUGCUCUCGUAUUAUUAUAAAAAUUUAAAAUUAUCUUUAUUAAUUAGGAAAUAAUUCAUUAAUUUUAAAGAGAUUAUUAUUAUUACCAAUUAUAUUGAGAUAACAAAAUAAAAUAAUAAUAUAAAAUAUUUAUUUUAGUUAUCAAUUAUUAUAUAUACGUAUUUAAAAUAUAUUUUAUACAUAUUUAUAAAUAUGUCAAUAAAUAUUACCAGUUGUUUAACCAAUUCUCUUUACUUCUAAUUAUUUAUAUAGUACAGUCAACAAUAAUUAUUGUAAAAGUUACAAUAUUAUCAAACUAAUCCUUAUUAUUGAGGGCACGACCUCAUUAUUGAGCUACAAGCUAGAGUUAAAAGUUAAGUUGAAUUGAAUUGAGUUGUAAGUAAAUUUAUGUUCAAUUUGAUUAAUUAUCCUUUUUCUUUGUGUACCAUUAUUUUCAAUGAAAAAUUGAAUCCAAUUAUAUAAGUUUGUCUAAUCCAUGCAUCUGUCUGUCUAUCUUCCAUUUUUAUAUACAUUUAAACAUAAUAAUAAACACUCUGAUCUUACUAUACAUUAAUAUACACAAAUCCUCUACAAUUAUGGCUCAUUCAUGUUCUCAAAAUUUUUUUAUAUAGUUAUUAUACUAGUUGAUUUCCAUCAAAUUAUGGAUGUAAAGUUUCCUUUUUGUUCUCACUACCUUUGACAGAAGAAAAAUGAUUUUUAUAAUAUUUAUACAUUCUUUGGCUAUGCAUUAUUGUAUCAAAGAAUUAUUUGGAUUUUGGGCACAUCAUGUGAUCAAGCGCAAUCUCCGACAACCAUUAAAGAAUUUGUACCUGCAAAUAAUGGGUCAUUAAUUAUAUUUUUAGAAAUUAAAAGUAUCAUAUCUUAUCCUUGGUUAGAAGAUUAGGCCCUCUGACCUAAGUAAUGGACCCACGACGCCUCAACGCUUCUUUAAUCCCAAUUUUUGUAGGUCACGUAUGGACACAUAAAAAAAAAUAAAAACAAAUAUAAAAUCAAGUACAAUAAAAAUGAUUAUCUUGAAUUAGUAUAACAAACAAAAACUUACGCAUCCAAUGAAAUCAUGAAAGCUAUUAGUAAAAGAUAAAGCCCAAUAAUGUCACUCUUGUUAAAAGAUUUUUUUUUUUCUAUCAAGUGUUAUUUGGAUUUUUUCUAUCUCUGCUUGAAAUGCAACAAGCGAUAUCUUUAUCCCAUCAAGGACGUCGGUCGGAUAAGAUAUAUAUAGUCUUCUUGUAUAAAAUAAGUAACUUGGCAUCUUCUAGAUUAUCAUGAUGAAGGUCUUAAUUAGGGAUUUUUUAGAGCUACAUUUGGGAUCAAUUAAUUGGUAAGUAGCAUACUAGCAUAUAUAUAACAUUUCGUGUCGAAAUGAAGGUGCAUUCUCGCUUAUCAGUUUGGGACCUGGGAAGAAAAAUAGACAUUACAUUGUUGACUAGACAUACGAGGUAAAUGGGUCAAGUUUAAGGAAAUUUACAUAAAUAACCUAAAAACUUUAAGAUUUUAUAAAAUUAGCCACUUUAAUUAUUUUUUAAUCAUAAUUAGUCAAUGAUAUUUUUAUUGGACAUAAUUACCCUCACUACUCUCAACAAAUUACCAAACCAAUACCACUUGCUAAAUCAUCAAGCCUCAAUACUCUCAACAAAUCUCUAAACCUCAUCACUCUCAACAAAUCACUAAACUCAUGAAAUAAUAAGGACAAUAUUUUAAAUGUUGUUUUUUAAAUAAUGUGGAUUCAUAAAAUCAUUAGUUUGCCUUGGUAUAUAUGUAAAAAUAAAAAUAAAAAUCAGAAUCAUAAAAUUUAGAAUAAAAACGAAGUAGUGGAGAAAACCUAGAAAAUAUGCAAGUGCACCACAUAUAUAGGAGUGGUCCACAAUAUACACAUUAUAAGUGCGAUAGACACUAACCGAUAGGCAUCUAAAUAUAGGCACAAAUGAUGUCUACUGCACUAAAUGAAUGCAUAUACCAACCUAUCACACAAAACUACCACAAUCAUAACAGUCAAAUCCAAAUUUUAUUCAUUAUAAAAUUAUAAUAAAAGAUUAAAAAAAACACAAAAAAACUAUGUUCACCAAACACAAGUGAAAUAAAUGUGCCUAUUACACCAAGCAUAUUUGCUAAAUUUUUUGGUAGCUUGUUGCACCAAUCUUGGAUAGAGUGAUGAGAGAUAAAUGAAAUAGUGGUUAACAUGUUAAUGUUAGAAAAUAAUAAAAGGUAGUUUUAAAUGACAACCAAUUGAGGACAAUGGCAGUAAGCUUGCUACUUUCACAUACAUUGGAGGCAGCGAUGGUACUAAGCUCGCUGUUGGGUGAUGGCAAUGAGCAUAUAGAAAAAAAGAUUAAAAAAAAAAAAAAAGGCCAUCUAAAAUCUUAAAAGAAGAAACCAAAAGUAAAAUAACUCUGUGUGGCAUUUUAUCAAACACUGAGUGUGCACUAUAUUUUUGUACUAUAUUAUUAACAUACCAUUUCCUCCAAAUGCAACAAUUUGCAAAUCUAAUAACUUUAACAACUAAAAUCAAAAUUUACAACUUCACAAAAUCAUCAAUACAACUCUUAAAAAUACCACAACAACUCAGUCGCAACACCCACCAUAACCCAACAUCACUUUCUAAUUCAUUGUACCAAAAAUGUGAAGAAUGUGUAAAAUCGAAGUUGCUAGUAUACGCUGCCUUUAAUUCGCCAUUGCCAUCGAGUCGCUUUAACUAUCAAUUGAAGUUUGUUGUAAUCAGCACUAAAGAGGGAAGUUGUAAGGUUGUUUAUUGUAAUCUUUUAGUGUUUUCUUUUUUUUUUUUGGAAAUGUAAGGGUAAUUAUGUCUAAAAUUUUGGCUAUUUAUGAUAGAAAAAAUUUGGCGUAGUUAUUUUUGUAAUUCAUAAAGUUUUUUACGUAAAUUUCCCUUAUGCUUAAUUCUUAUCCUUUAUAUUAUAAUCUAUCCUGAUCUGUACAAACAAAAAAAAUAAUUCAUACUAUAAUUAUAGAUAUAUCGGAGUGUACUCAAAUUUGAAGAAGAAAAUAAUAGUUCAUUGCAAUCCAAAUGCAUACCAAUACACCACUGUCCAUAGUAGACCGUAGAAUCAAAUUAUAGUAAUCCAUUACAACAAACAACUGGUUAAGUUAUUGUAACUUACUGAGGUGUGAGGAGGAAAGAACUUUCACCCAUGAUAAUAACUCAUUGACAUGCAAAGAGGAAAGAUCGUGCACUUAAGAUAUCAACAAAGGAUACCUCCACUUCACGUGUGUACAAUAAAUCUUAAAUUCACUUAGGAUGAGCUUCAACUCUUAUGAUGUACCCUCUACUGUCAAAGUUUACUUUAUUAAUUGAUUUUGUAAUAGUUAUUGCAAUGAUCGAUCUAUAGUAUUCAACUUUUCAAAUAUGAACUUAAAAAAAAAAAAUGCUAUCAUUUUAAGAAUGGGGGAAAAACUCAAACAAAAAAACAAAAAGAAGAAUAGAAUAUUGAAGAGGGAGAGAAUCUCUUGUGGAUGGAAAAAGGGAAGAGACUUGGAUUUUUAUAAAGUUCUUUGAAGAGAGAAUUGAAAUUUAGAGAGAGUUUUGGGGAGAUUAAUUCAUAAUAAGAAAGAGGUGGAUAGAGUGGCCUAAAUGGACUAGACAUAAUUCAAUCAUAAUUGAUAAAUCAUAUUUAGACUCUAUUUUUGCUGCCAAAUGCUUUCAAAGCAAAGCCGCUAAAGUAUUUCAAAAAAAUUUAAACUUUGUUUUGAAUGUUAAGUUGAUGUUACCUAAUAUGUAUUUUACUUUUAUUUGACAACUUAUAAUUCAUUUUACUAAAAGAGUGGUGCUAUUGGCAUGCUUUUUAUUUCUACAAAUAACUCAUUUUCUUGCCAUACCCUAAAAUAAAAUGGGUGAUUACGAAUGGCAAUGAGUUAGGCCAGGCUCAGGUUUGACCAAACCUGAGCCUGACCUAAUUACUAAAAUAAAAAGUCCAACCCGAUUAAAAAUCUAAUCAUUUUUCUUUCAGGCCAGGCUUGGCCGAGGUGGCCAUAAUUGUUUUGAAUAUUAUACCUUGAAGCUUCUUUUUAAAAUUUUUAAGUGAUUUAAAUUGGAAAAAAAUGACAUAAUCUUCCCACAUAGGUUGUUAAUCUUGAAUCUGAAUACUAAAUCAGAUCAAACUAAAAAGUUCAAUAAUGUUACAAACUCACUAUAACCUCAAAAGAUUCUGAGGAUUAUAAUCAACACAUACCGAAUUUAAAAUACACAAUUCAAUUCCAUAACCAUUUCAAUCACAUACAAUUCAAUUCCACAACUCAAUAUAAAAAAAUAUAAAAAAAACUCAAUUGUGGUGGCUAUCAUUUUGUGGUGGUUGACUGGCAGUGGGUGGCAGCUUGGAGCUGGAGCAGUCAUGCGUGGUUGGUUGGCUGGCAGUGGGAUUAAAGCCUCUCUCGUGUAGUUGUCCGUGAUGGCUUGGAGCUGGAGCAGGCAAUGAUAGACUGACAAAGUGACGGUGUUGGCUACUUGGAGGCUGGAGUGGGCGAGCAAAGCUAAUUCAUGCAAUCACGCUGCGCGGUUUUCACUUAGGUUUUGUGAGAUUGAGACUUGAGAGAGUGUGAGUGUGUGAUGUGUUCGUGUGAGUGUAUGUGAUGUGUGUGUGUGUGAGACUAAAAUUUUUUUGAUCGGAUCUUAAUUUUUUGGCCCAAACCUGACCUGAGACUAAAAAUUUUAGGUCAAAGUGCGAAAAAAUUUAGGUCAGGUCAAUCGGGCUAAAAUUUAGGUCGGGUCAAAUUAUCAUCCCUAUUGGUGAUUCCAAAAUAAUUUUGGACCCAUUUUUUAUUGAAAAACUAGCAUCAUUCUUCUUCUUCUCAAAAAAGCUCUCUUUCUUUCAACAGCCUUAAUUUUAUUUUAUUUUAUUUAUGAUUGUUUAUCUCGCUUAUCUAUUGACUAAUCUUUCUUUCUUCUUUAUAGAUAAUAAGAUAGCGCAUAAGCAUAAAUUGGGUGCUAAUGAAUCAAUUAUUCUUAAGCCAAAGUUGAACAAAUCAUUAAUAGAUUGACAUUAUAUCAAAAGAGGAUGAACAAUUUAAACAAUAAGAAUUUCUCAUUGCACAAUCAUUUUAACUAGGAUCUACACCAACUUAGGGCAGCCCACCAGGCUGUUGGAAUUUCCUUGUGUCAAUAAGUUGCUUUUAUUGUCCUAGUCUUUAGGAAGUUUGUUGGUAAUGUUAUUUGCAAGAUUGUGUUUACCUAGUCUUUAGGCUAGAGUUACUGGAAAGUGGCUGCAAUAUUUACUGAAUAAUGGCUGCUAUUAUUUCGUUAAGUUUGUUCAUGUAACGCCUAUAAAAGGCAACCUCAUUGUGAAUAAAAUGAGUAGUACUUUCAGCCAUUUAUCCUUGCUUUGAGUGAACUAUUUCAUAUUCACUUAUAACAGUGGUAUCAGAGCUUGAAUUAGAAGAGUGGGAUUGACAGAGUUAGUAACAGCAGCUUACUUGGCUUGUUUUCACUCGUGUUGCAGCAGCAGAAAUUCAUGGCUUCUGAGAAUUUUGUUCAACCUGCAAUUCCCCGCUUUGAUGGUCACUAUGACCAUUGGAGCAUGUUGAUGGAGAAUUUCUUAAGGUCCAAGGAGUAUUGGCAGGUUGUUUCAACUGGAAUAACUGAACCACCAGCCGGUGUUGUUUUGACGGAUGCUCAAAAAAUAGAGCUUGAAGGGCAACGAUUAAAGGAUCUCAAGGCAAAGAAUUACUUGUUCCAAGUUAUUGAUCGCUCAAUCUUGGAAACAAUUCUUAACAAAGACUCCUCUAAACAAAUUUGGGAUUCCUUGAAAAAGAAGUAUCAAGGGGCAGCAAGGGCGAAGCGGGUACACCUCCAGACACUUCGAGCUGAAUUUGAAUCUCUACGAAUGAAGAUGGGAGAGUCGGUCUCAGCAUACUUUGCAAGGACAAUGGCAAUCGCAAAUAAGAGACGAAUUCAUGGCGAGCAGCUCGAGGAUGUUAUCAUAAUUGAGAAGAUUCUUAGAUCUUUAACGGCAAAAUUUAACUAUAUUGUUUGUGCGAUUGAGGAAUCAAGGGAUAUUGACACACUUUCGAUUGAUGAAUUGGAAAGUACUUUGCUAGUCCAUGAGCAGAAAGUAAUCCGACAGGAUAAGAAAGAACAUGCAUUACAGGUAGCAGCAAAUCUCAAACCAACUGGAGGGGGUAAAGGAGGUUGGAAAGGCAAGAAUGGGCAGAACAGAUCAGAAGAAAAGGUUGAUGAUUGUCAAGGAAAAGGAAAGGAUUAUGAUGGUCAGAAUUCGACAGGACAUAAACCAAAGUCUAAAGACAAAUCGAAUGUUAAAUGCUUCCGUUGUCAGAAGUACGGUCAUUACCGCUCCGAGUGCCGUACUAAUUUAAAUAAGAAUCAUGGCGAGAAAUCUAACUUUACAGAAAAUAAGGAAGAAGAAAUUUCCCUUCUUAUGGCAUGUCAUACAAAGGAGGAAAGUCACCAAAAUCUAUGGUACUUAGAUACCGGUUGCAGCAAUCAUAUGUGUGGGGAUAAAUCUGCUUUUUCUGACUUGGAUGAGACUUUUCGGAAUACUGUAAAAUUUGGUGAUGACUCCACAGUUUCUGUCAUGGGGAAAGGAAGGGUUGCAAUCCAAACCAAGGAAAGUUCUCAUUCUAUCUCAAAUGUUCUAUUUGUUCCUGAACUGAAAACUAACCUUCUCAGUGUUGGCCAGUUACAAGAAAAUGGGUAUGAGAUCUCUAUCAAGGAAGGAGUUUGCCGAAUCCACGAUGAAAAAUUGGGCUUAAUUGCUCAAGUGAAAAUGACGGCAAACAGAAUGUUCCCAUUGUAUCUUCACCAUACUGCACACUCAUGUUUUGCUGCAAAUUUCAAAGAUACAGCAUGGUUAUGGCACUUUCGUUACGGGCAUCUUAGUUUUGGUGGAUUGAAGACCUUGCAGCAGAAAAAUAUGGUGGUAGGCCUUCCACAAUUUGAGCAACCUUCACAGCUUUGCGAAGAGUGUAUUGUCAGUAAGCAACAUCGAGAUAAUUUCCCAAAAGGAAAAUCUCGAAGGGCAAAGAAAGUGCUGGAGCUAGUGCAUUCUGACUUAUGUGGGCUAAUCAAGCCAACAUCAAAUGGAGGUAAACGAUAUUUUAUCUCAUUUAUUGAUGAUUUUAGUCGAAAAACCUGGGUUUAUUUCUUGCAAGAAAAAUCGGAAGCUUUCACAGCCUUUCAAAUGUUUAAAGCACUAGUUGAAAGAGAAGCUGACAGCCAAAUUAAAAUAUUGCGUACUGAUCGUGGUGGAGAGUUCAACUCUCAAGAAUUUGGAAGCUUCUGUGAAAAUCAUGGAAUUAGAAGACAAUUGACAGCAGCCUACACACCUCAGCAAAAUGGUGUAUGCGAGAGGAAAAAUCGUACAAUUCUUAAUAUGGUACGAAGCCUUCUGUAGAGGAGUGGUCUUUCCAAAAGUUUUUGGCCUGAAGCAGUUGUUUGGAGUGUUUAUAUUUUGAACAGAAACCCCACAAUAGCUGUUCAAAAUAUAACUCCUGAAGAAGCAUGGAGUGGAUGUAAGCCGGCAGUAGAUCACUUUCGGGUAUUUGGAUGUAUAGCAUAUGUCCACGUACCAGAUGAGAAAAGAAGAAAAUUACAUGACAAAGGUGUAAAGUGCAUUUUUCUUGGUGUUAGUGAUUAUUCAAAGGCCUACAAAUUAUAUGAUCCCAUCAUCAAGAAAAUUGUCAUUAGUCGUGAUGUCAUUUUUGAUGAAGAGAAGACAUGGAUGUGGAGAUGCAGUUCUGUUGGGCAGCAAAUUCCAGCAGAUUUCGAUGGUGAAAUUGAAGAAAAUUCAUAGCAACUUCAGCCUUCAACAGUCUCUGCUCCUGACCUGCCGCAAAAUAGAGUCUCAGCAGAAACUCCACCAGCAACAAAUGAACUUGAUGAACAAGUUGAAGCUACAGAUUCACGUUCUCAACGUGAUAGAGGAAGGCCUGCAUGGAUGUCAUAUUAUGAGGUAACAUGAUUUAACACUCUUGAGAAUCCACUCAUACACUUUACCUUGUUUUCAGAAUGUGAUCCUACAACUUUUAAAGAAGUUGUCAAAGAACAAAAAUGGCUAAAAGCCAUGGACGAAGAAAUUGCAUCCAUUGAAAAAAAUAAUACUUGGGAGUUGACUGAACUUCCAAUGGGGCAGAGGACAAUAGGAGUCAAGUGGGUUUACAAGACAAAAUUGAAGGAAAAUGGUGAAAUUGAUAAAUACAAGGCACGCCUAGUCGCCAAAGGCUACAAGCAAGAGUUCGGCGUGGAUUAUAAAGAAGUAUUUGCUCCCGUUGCAAGACUUGAAACGAUCAGAUUGAUUAUUGCACUUGCAGCACAAAAUUCAUGGCCUGUUUUUCAACUGGACAUGAAAUCAGCAUUCUUGCAUGGGGAGCUACAAGAAGAGGUAUUUAUCGAACAACCUCCUGGAUAUGUGAAAUUAGGCAGUGAGCAUAAAGUCUAUAAAUUGAAAAAAGCUCUAUAUGGACUAAAACAAGCACCCCGAGCUUGGUAUAGUCAUAUAGAUGCUUAUUUCUUGAAGGAAGGUUUUCGAAAAUGCCCAUAUGAGCAUACUUUGUACACAAAAAUUGGAGAUGAUGGGAAAAUGCUUAUGGUAUGCUUAUAUGUAGAUGAUUUGAUUUACACGGGAAAUGACAGAGUAAUGUUUGAGAAAUUCAAGAAAUCCAUUAUGCUUGAAUUUGAUAUGACUGAUCUUGGUUUGCUACAUUAUUUUCUUGGCUUAGAAGUCAUACAAUCUGAUGCUGGAAAUUUUAUUUGUCAAAAGAAAUAUGUGGAAGAGAUCUUAGAAAGAUUUCAAAUGAAGAACUGCAACUCUGUCACUACUCCAAUUGAAAAAUGAUUGAAGCUUGUUAAGGAUCCUGCAGGAAGAAUAGUUGAUAGUACCCUUUACAAACAGAUUGUUGGAAGCUUGAUGUACUUAACGGCAACUCGACCUGAUAUAAUGCAUGCAGUUAGUUCCAUCAGCAGAUAUAUGGAGCAUCCAAGAGAGGAUCAUCUUUUAGCUGCAAAGAGAAUUCUUCGAUACUUGCGUGGUACUGCUGAAUUUGGGUUGUUCUACAAAAAGGGUAAAAAACCAUAUUUGUAUGGCUUUGCAGACAGUGAUUAUGCUGGAGAUUUGGAUGACAGAAGAAGCACAUCUGGAUAUGUAUUUAUGUUUGGUUCAGCAGCUAUUUCAUGGUCAUCUAAGAAGCAACCGAUAGUUACUUUGUCAACAACUGAGGCUGAGUUUGUUGCAGCAGCUUCUUGUGCGUGUCAAGCACUUUGGCUGAGAAAUAUUCUUCAUGAACUUCAGUUUAAGCAACCAGAGUCAACACAAAUCUUCUGUGAUAAUAGUUCAACAAUUAAACUUUCAAAGAAUCCGGUUCUACAUGGAAGAUGCAAGCACAUAGAUGUGAGAUACCAUUUCUUGCGAGACUUGACAAAAAAUGAAGUCAUUGAUCUUGUUUAUUGCAGGAGUGAAGACCAAGUUGCUGACAUCUUUACUAAACCCCUCAAAUUGGCUAGUUUUUUUAAGCUGAGAAAGUCACUUGGAGUUUGUAAAUUACAAUUUGAGGAAGAUUCUGCAGAAUGUUUAAACUGAAUGUUAAUAACAUUUAGUUUAAGGGAGGGAUUGUUGGAAUUUCCUUGUGUCAAUAAGUUGCUUUUAUUGUCCUAGUAUUUAGGAAGUUUGUUGGUAAUGUUAUUUGCAAGAUUGUGUUUACCUAGUCUUUAGGCUAGAGUUACUGGAAAGUGGCUGCAAUGUUUACUGAAUAAUGGCUGCUAUUAUUUCAUUAAGUUUGUUCAUGUAACGCCUAUAAAAGGCAACCUCAUUGUGAAUAAAAUGAGUAGUACUUUCAUCCAUUUAUCCUUGCUUUGAGUGAACUAUUUCAUAUUCACUUAUAACACAGGCACCAAUCCUCUCCUUUCAAGUGCUUCCCUCAAUAGGAAAUAUUGAUUAUUAGGAGCACAACUAUUGCAAUUGUGAUUUUUUUUUCUUAAAAUCUGGAAAAGGGAAAAAUUAAGAUUUAAAAUUUGCAGUUGAAAUAAAAAGUAAAAAGAUGAGGGUAAUUUUGGGAUUACAAAGGGGUUUUUGAAAGUUCAUAAACGGGGCUUUUUGAGGAAGUUACAGGGGUGCCAUAAACUCUACUCUUACAACAAUCCCAAAAUGAGCCUGAAUUGAAAGGAUAAGGCUUUAUACAACCCAAAACCCAUUUAAAACAUAUUUUUUGUGUAAUUUAUCAAAGUGAGCAUUGAGCUAAUAACCCAAUUUAAAACAUAUACUAAAUUGGGCUGCCCUUUAAUCCAUCACUUCCCCCCAUUAAUAAGCCCAAAUAAAGACCCACGAAAAUCUUCUAAUCCCUCGAGGAGAAAAUCGUAAUUUGGCCUCAACCCCGCUAAAAACCCUAGCUUCUGCUUAUAUUCAUUUCUUGCUGCGCCUCCGCAAAUCGCAAAAGACAGGGCAAGCAAAAAGCACUUCACACACUCUUUGUAGCCGUAACCAGCAGAGCAAUCAUGCCGCCGAAGUUCGACCCGAGCCAAGUGGUGGACGUGUACGUCCGCGUGACCGGUGGCGAGGUGGGAGCCGCCAGUUCCCUCGCCCCAAAGAUCGGUCCCCUCGGUCUCUCCCCCAAGAAAAUCGGAGAGGACAUCGCCAAGGAAACCGCCAAGGACUGGAAGGGCUUACGUGUCACCGUCAAGCUCACCGUCCAGAACCGUCAGGCCAAGGUCGCCGUCGUUCCCUCCGCCGCCGCCCUGGUCAUUAAAGCCCUCAAGGAACCCGAGAGGGACAGGAAGAAGACCAAGAACAUCAAGCACAACGGCAACAUUACCCUCGAUGACGUCAUCGAAAUCGCAAAAGUGAUGCGGCCCAGGUCGAUGGCUAAGGAUUUGAGUGGCACCGUUAAGGAGAUUUUGGGCACAUGCGUUUCUGUUGGGUGUACGGUCGAUGGCAAGGACCCUAAGGACCUGCAGCAGGAGAUCACUGAUGGUGAUGUCGAAAUUCCUCUUGAUUGAAGACUCUGUUUGUGAGGGGGUCUAUUUUAGAUUUUAAUUUUUGUUUUUUAUUUCUAUAUAUCAGUGCCUUUUUUUUUUAUUAUCAGUUUUGGAUCUUUACAAGGAUUUUGAUGAUGUCUCCAAUUAUUCGAGCUUUAAACGAGUGCUUUAUUAUUGGAAUUUAGGAGAUGUAAGGUUUAAUUUAGUGGACUUAUGUUGAAUGAUGCUUCAGAAAACGUAUAUUGGAUCUUUGAAAUUUAAAUUUUCUAAUGCAAAUGAAUCUUGUUUAUUUCGCAUUGUGUUUUUAUAUUAUUUGAAGCUAAUGUGGUGGCUAUGGAAGCGCCUGCAGCACUAGGGUGUCAUCACAUUGAUGUUUGAGAAUCCAUUUUGGAUAACUUGUUUUGAUCUAUUGACAGACUGUCAAUCCUGCUGAAAUUGUGUGCUGAUGUCUUGCAUAGUGUUAUUGGUGUGGGAUACUGAUUAGAAGAAAUAAGUGUAAUGAGUCGGGAUAAUUUAGAAAGUUGGUUAGAUUUUUUGUUGACGCCGGUUGAUUAUUUUGUCACAGUACUUAGUUUUAGAGAAUAGGAUACAUAUUUAAGAUAGCUCAAAAUAAGUUGAUUUGAUUAUAUGCCCUAUGUGUAUUAUUUGAUGUUUUUUGUUAUGUUUCACAAUUUGUUCGAGUUUCAGAUUUGUCAUAUGCAUAGCUGAACUUGAUUUUUCUCUUAAUUUUAGGUCUAUGAGUACCUUCUAAACUUAAGUGUAGCUUGUCUGAUGCUUAAAACCAUUGUCGAGUCCAUCUUGAGGAUGACAGGAUGAAAAGAUUUUAUUUUAAGUAUUCCAUGGGUAUUUUCUUGUGAAGCCACCGAUCCUUACACAACUGGGAGUUAUGUUUCAUGUGGUGUCGAUCUGUUUUAUGUGUAGCUUUUCUUUUCUUUCUUCUUUCAUUUUUUCUUUGGGUUAAUGCAUGCUUGUGUAAUGGUUUGUUGGAUUAACGGUGUCUACGGUAUGGUUGUGGAAGUAUAUGUUCUGGUAGUUCUGUCCUAGUUUCAACUAAUUGUUUGAAAUUACCAUCACUACCUGAUUGCUGUAUUUUUGUGGCAUAUAAUGCAUUCAUUGCAUUUAUAAUUGGUUUCUGGUUACUUUGCACUUCAUGAAGUUCAUAUUUGAUUAAUAGUGCUUUCAAGGUUAUCUUUUCAUUUUGUGCUUUACUUGGUGGUCUUGAACUUAAGAGUUUGUAUGAAUGUAAUUGUGAUUAUAAGCAUGGUUGUUAAUGAUUUUAUCCAAGGGUAAGAUGUGAUUGACUUAUUCAUACAAAAAUCAACAGUGCUUCUAAUGUAUUGUUGAAUAAGUGAAAUAUGGAGCUGGGUGGACAAUCUUUGUUUUUUAAUUUCAGAUAGAAGAGUUGGCAUGUGCUUUGCUUUUGUGAAAAUGGCGAGUAAAUGCUCCUGUUUAAAUUGAAGUAAGGUGAAGCUUGUGUGUUACACUAUGAUAUUUCUGAAUGUGUAGGUUCUUUGUGGGGUUUUCUCUUUCUUCUUUUAGUACAUGUAGGCUACAUUUGGCACUGAGGUUUGGAUUGGAGCAUUGGACUAACUAUUAAGAUUAGACUAGAUUACACUGGAUUAUAUUAGGUUAGUUUAUAUAUUUAGUGCUGACUUAUGUAUGGUUAAACAUCAGCUAUUUAUAGAUAUUUAAUAAGAAAUAUUAUAAUUGAUUAAAAUAAAAUUGAUAAGAAAAAAUUAUGUAUAUAUAUUGAAUUAGUUAUUGGGUUAUAAUAAUUAUAAUAAUGAAAUAUAAAUUUUUUAAAUCAUAGAUUAUAUCAUAUGAGAUAUAUUAUUUCAUUAAAUAAAAUAAAUAAAACUAUUCAACUAAUAAAUUAACUAAUAAUUUUUAAGGAGAUCAUGAAUAACAAAAAAUAAAUUACUUAACUUAUAACAAUAAAUAAAUGAACAGCAUGUCAUGCAUGGAUUAACAUUUUUUUUCUUAUUGUCUAAUUUUAACUAAACCUACAUAAAAAUUGAGAUUACUAAUUCCAUAAAUUUAGUGUUAAGAUUUGAAUUUAGGCUAUUAGUCCAAUCCAAGUGACAGCAUGUCAUGCAUCAUGCAUCAUGCAUGGGUUAAUAUCUUGUCCUAAAAUUUAGUUUAAUUCUACACUUAAUCUUAGCUUCCAAAGGUAGCCGUAUGUGGUAGAUCUUAGUGCCACAAAUGAUUUCCAGAAUCCAGAGUAUGCAAAUGUACUGUGAAAUCAUGACAUCUGUACAGAAUUAGAUGUCAAUAUUUACUAGUUAUAGGGUAACAAAUGCACAGAUACUCAACAAUGCAUAUUGGAUGAUUCUAAUAAACACAAAGGCUAUGUGGCACAAAGCAGUUAUCGCCCUGAUUAUAUCUAAUCUUGUCAGAAUGCCAUCUGAAGGAAUAAAAUGAAUGUGGAAAGCCCAAAUCUUGAGUCGUACCAAUUGCCAUAUUUUUAUUAGUUUAUUAUAAUUUUACUUCUCUCGUAUGGAAAUCACAUGUAUGUUAUUAAAUUUGUAGCAUUUUUACUUUCAUCAGUGGUUAGGAUCUUAAUUGCUGGUCAAAAUUAUUGCGUGCGACAUAGGGUGUUUUUGAGCCAAGCCGGCGGGACACGCAAAGGGUUUUUAAGGUUUACUUGUUAGGUUUUGUCAUUUGAUGCAUGAUAUAAUUUGUCAUCUGUUUUGUUGUGUAUCUGUGUGUCCUGUGAAUCAUACGGUUUCUUUCCAGAAUGUUCGGUUCUACAAAUUCCAACGCAUAGAGGUUGCUUGUUGAUAUUUUUAGUAUCUUUUUACAAGUCAUUAUAACGUUGGACAAAUGUACUCCCACCUCACCGCCAAUUUUUCCUGUUGAUUGGCCCUCAUUUUGUUUCCAUUCUUUCGCUAUUUACUUAUGUUCUCUCUUCGCUUAUAAAAAGCCCGCUACUUGGUCAUUUGCUCUGCCCUCGUUCAAAAAGAAAAUCUUUUUCUUUUUUUUUUCCUGAAGAAAUAGACAAUUUAAAAUCCCACCUCUCUCUUCUUAGAGUCAACUCUUUGCAACCCUUUUAAACUCCAGCCUUUUUUCUCUUAACUCGUUUUGUUUUGGGGUGAUUCAAUCAAAUAUGGCCAAGGCAAUUAGAGAAUUGAAGUCGUGGACGGAGGUAGCUCCAGCUCCCAUUAUUUACCCAAAGAAGCCUUCAAAUUCUCCUCGUUUGGACACAAUCAUUGAAGAAUCCAACGAGGAGGAGGAUGCUGAACGUAGUGAUUCAUAGUGGCAAAUUGUUUCUCUUGCUUCUCAGUCAUUGUUAACCCAAUGGGAUAAGAUUCUAUAUACGUGUAAACUGAACCUUUUUUUCUUCUCUUUUAACAGGUGGUGUAAGUUUUGCUAGAAGAUGAUUAACAUGUUUAUAAAUUGACAUGUGAUUUUUUAUUAGUAAUGCGAUUCUUGUCAUUAUUUUCUUCAUAGACAUAAUUAUUACCCUAUUACAAGUCACAGAGUCCGAUCAUCUAUAAAUAAUUUGUUUCGUUAUAGGUAUAAUUGUUUUGCUCCUAUUGUUAGUGUUCCAGUGUAAGAAUUAUUCAACUCUUUAGCUUUUGAACAAGUAUGCUUUAUUCAGUAAAAAAUAUUAACAGAAUGUGAAAUGUGAUCUUGUUAAUUCAACGACGUUUGUUGUGUGAUUGUUGGCUUUGAUUUUUUUUUUCCAAUUAUUGAAAUGUAACAAUAUAAUCAAAGGUUUACUAGCAUUUGUUAUAAGAAAUUUUUUGGGACUAACCAUAUUGUGUCGCAAUCCAAAUUUAUCUAUCAUUAUAGUAUUAAAGAUAUAAGUAUUCAUUACCUACAUUUUUUUAUAGGAAGAGAUGUCUACUCCUAUAUAAUUUUAACUAAGAGAAAAAAAUUUAAGUUCCAACAUGAAAGCUGGGACUAGAAAAUUGAAGGCUCAAGUUCUUACCACAAAGCCGAAGAUAUAGUGACAUUUUUGGCUUUGAUUUAGAAUAGAACAGACUGUUAAUUGAUUCAAUUGGUAAAAUUAUUUGGAGUGAUCUAUAAAGUGUAGUGUUCAAUUUUUAGCAUUCGUAAUUUUUAAAAAUAAUAAAUUGUAUUAAAAUUGUCAAAAAAACGACAGUGCACGUCAUAUCGAGUAAAAAUAUGAGACCACAUUGAGAAUAUACAAUAUUUAAGUUAUGCUUAAGAUUGAAUCUUAAGUUAGGACUCUAGCAUACAAAUACGAAUAUGUUAACUAAAAAUUCCUUAUAACUGAAAAAAAAAAAAGGCUUUACACGCUAUGAUCUUAUAAGAUGCUGUAGAAAUCUUAUGAAUUUAGCUUAGUCUAUUCAACCCAAUUAUUGGAAGUGAAAUGCACGUUCACUUGCAUUGGAAUUGAAAGCAAAACCUAUGUUCCAUAUGAUAAUUGAUGAUACACUUAUUAAUUUAAGCGAAAAAGUAAAGAGAUUCUCACUUUUAGCAUCAAGUUAGGCAUUAGAUUCAAUUUUGCAUGCUUCUUACAAGAGAAUGAAAAGAGCGAACCAACUUAGUUCAACAAACCUAAAAACUAAUCUUUGCACUAACAAAAAGUAACCAAUAAAUAAACGGAAAACACCAAAACCAGUCAGUGUCAAGCUCCAUCAAUGACAUGCAAUAAUUUCUCACAAUUAACACCAAAACGUGUAAACAGUACAGCUUGCCAAGUGUAAUCAAUAAUUCAGUGUCUGUCCCAUCUUUCUCAUUUUCCACAUGUCGUUUUCCAUUUGAGUGGGUGACUGACCAAGCUUAUCAGUUCGUCGCUGUUGCCUCUAUUUUACUCCAUUUGUUAUUGCACUAUAUAAAGGGCCUGCUGCAUUCAUUUGCUUCUCAUAAACAAAUUCAGAAUACUUUUUAAGCAGGUUUUGAAAAUUACAUCUUUCAUUUUAUCUCUUUUCUUGAAGCUGAGGGAAGUAGUAUCCGACUGAUUCGUUGCCUUCACCUGGGCAUAAGCCUGUUUUGCAAUUUGGUCCUUGGAAUUUUCAUUUUCAGAAAACGUUCUUUUAAGUUACAGAAAUGGCAAAGGAGACAAGAUAUUUGAGUUCUUUGAUUGAAGUUGCACCGGCCCUUCUGAUUUCUCCUCUUAAAACUUGGAGAAUUCCAAGGUUGGAGACGAUCAGAGAAGAGGAUACCGAGGAUUUUGAUGAAGAUUAGUUGUACAUCUUCCUAUAGGUUUGUUAAUAAUGCUUCAAACUUCAAAGUCGAUGGUGCAAAUUUUGUAUUGGAACGUUUAAUUUUGUAAAUGACCCAAAACUAUUUCCCAACUCGUUUUCUAAUUCGCUGAGUGGAACAACGCACGACAUGACACUAUUAUGAACUAUUGUGUGUAAAUAAUUAAUUACCUAUUAUCUUAUUAUCACACAGCGAAUGGUUUGAGAACCACUUAAAUAAGAGCUGUACUUGUAUCUGUUGGGAUAUAAAUUCUGUGAACUUUGUAUAUUAGUUUUGUAAUUGUAGUAUUUCUUGUUCAAAAUCACUUAUCUAUCUAUCAAACCGACUUUAAUACUAAAAGCUUAUUUAUUUUUUUGACUAAAUAUGUAAAAAAAAAAAAAAAAGACAUUUCAAAUCUAUUUAAAUUUCAAAAUAGAAAACGAACUCUUAACUAAAGGUGGCUAACGGGCCGGACGGCACGAGGCACGGCACGGGUACGGCACGUGUCCGUAUAGCACGGCACGGCACGAGGCACGGCACGGGUACGGCACGUGUCCGUAUAGCACGGCACGGCACGGCACGGCACGCAUGUGGGCCGUGCCGGGCUUAGAUUUUAGGCACGCGGACUUAAAAAGUACGACACGAUUAGAGAUGGGUCAAAUCACGGUACGCGAAAAAGCACGCAAUAAGCACGUUUCAUUUUUUAAUGAAAGUAAACUUAAAAUUUUAUGAUUUUAUAAAUAACUUGAAAUUAAAUCUUUUAAUAUAUUUUAUUGGCUCAAGUUUUUUAAAUUUAUUUAAUUCUUAGUUUCAAAAAAAUUAUAAUUGAUUUAUGUUUAUAAUUUUUUAAAUAAAUAAUUGAUAUCAUGAUUUUAAUAAAUAAAAUUAUAAAUAUCAUGAUUUUAUAAAUAUGUAUUAAUAUUAUUAUAAAUUAUGAUAUAUGACUUUACGUAAUUCCAAGUUAACAAUUAAGUUAACUUUAAAAAAAAUUAUUAUUGUUGUUGUUAAGUACUAAAAAAGAAUUCUAAUACCAUAGAGUCAAGCUUAGCAACUAAUAUUACAUUCUCUUAUUAUUAUUAAUUUAUUAUUAUUGAAUAUGGACUUAAAUUUUGAAUUUUUUAUUCUAUUAAAUUUAAAUAAAGCACGUGGAUCCAAAAAAAGUACAUAAGAUUAAAAAAAAUAAGACAAUAACUUGGCAUGCGCUCUUAAAAAAAGAAAAAAAGCUUAGUGAGGUAUUUUUCUUAGGCACGGCCCACGACACGGCACGUGUGGGCACGAGCACGAGGACGUGUGGGCACGGCACGUUUGCCGAGCUGGCACGGCACAACACGACACGAAAUGAAUAAUGGGCACGGCACGGCACGAGCACGAGCACGCGUAGGCUUCCUUUGAUGGGCCUGGGCCGGCACGGCACAGCCCGUUGGCCAUCUCUACUCUUAACUAAAUAAAAAAGUGACAUUCGUUUCUCUCUUUCACUCCUUCUAGAAACUCAUUUACCUAUGCAAAAUGAGUUCCAAUAGCUUUUUUAGCCUGUUGGUUAGGAAUAUUCUACUUUGUUACGGUACAUAAUCAUGCAACAUACAUGGUUAUACAGCAGUCAUUGAAUUUUUAUCAAACGGUUGUAGAAAUAUAAAAUAAUAAAAUCAUAUUAUUUCUACGAUCAUUAAAUUUUCAUCCAAAGGCUGCUAUAUAAUCAUUUUUGUUACAUAAUUAUGCAACAUAACAAAAGUCCUCAUAUAAAUAUUUGUAACUUUCAUUUUAUUCUUUUGGUUUUUUUUUUUUAAGACAUGGAUAUUUUAUAUAUACGUGUGUGUAUGAAAAAAUAAUCCCUCAAAUUUUUGAUAUCAUCCUCUUGCACCAAAGUUAUAUAGCUUCACCAUUCUUGCAUAGAGAUUGAUAUAAAGUUCAUAGUUUUUCUUAUUUAGGAAUUGGAGACUUCAAAUAAGAGAGAAACCAUUUUGCCAUUAUAAAACAAUAAAAAAAAACCAAAUAUCUAAAUUUAAAUGAAGAGAACUCCCAACAAUCAACUUUAUUGUGUGAACACUUGACGCUAACUGAAAUUAAAAUAUAUUUCGAUGUCAUGUUUUUUAAUGGAGUGUUUUUAUGGUUAAUUGAUUUAAAGAUCUAUAUUAUAUUUAUUAUUGUAAUCUUAUUUAUUGAAACAAAAUUUUUUAACCUCCAAAAUCUUGAGGCUCGGAUCAAGACAUAUUUUUUUUUAGUUACUCCAUUUUUCGAUUGUAAACGAAAUAAUCACCAUAUAUAGGGAGGUUGAAUCCACUUAUUUGCAUAAUAUUGAGUUCAGUUUUUAGAAAAAUUGAAUGUUAUUUGAGAUUUUAGGUUUAAGGAAAAUAUCAAAAAUACUAAAGUGAUUGAAAUAAUUUUUCGUUAAAUAACUUUUUCACAUAAAAAUUUAUGUUUUGUAAUUAAUUUUUUUUAUUUAUUAUAUUUUUGAUAUUUUUAUUUUACUGAAUCUUAGAAGUGCGAGAAUCUCUUAAAGGUACACACCCAUCCACCCACUCCGAAAAAGUUCGUUCUCCACCUCAUAUUUCCCAUGAUGUGAAUUUAAAAUUUCUCUUCACUUUCACUUUUUUUUUUAGUAUUUUCCUCCAAACUUUCGAAAAUGCCCGUUCCCACUCGAUGGUAAAAACAAGAUUAAUAAACUAUAAAUAAAUAAAAAGUCCCAAAAGCCAUGUCCUUGUCAUUCACCAAUCAACAUAUAUAAAUGAAAAAAAAUCUCCUUUCGUCAUAUGAAGUCACCUACACACAAUAAAUAAAAAAUAAAAAAAGGUACACGGUUUAGGGGAUGCCAUUUGUACAUCAAAUUAUUUUGUCACAAGUGUCAUCUCUAUCUUCCACAUUCUCCACAUGCCCCUUAUUAGCAUUCAUUAAUCAUUGUGACCUACUGACCUUCCUUCCAUUCCACUACUAAGCCCUUAAUGGUUAUAAAAAGGCCACCUUCGUUCACUUCUCCUCAAAGCAAGUUAGUUCCAGAAAAAAGAGUCCCAAAUCUCUAAUUGAAAUUAACAGUUGCCAGGCUUUCUUUCAUUGUAAUUUUACAAGUUCAAUGGCAAAGCAGACAAGCUGUUUGAUUUCUUGGAUUGAAGUUGCACCUGCCCUUGUGAUUUCUCCUCUUAAAACUUCAAAUUCUCCAAGUCUUGAUACGAUUUCAGAAGAGGAAACAGAGGAAUAUGAAGAAGACUUGUGAAGUGGGGGAGUUCAUUUUUCUGUUUAAUUACAGCAAAAUGUCCUGUACUGGACCUUUAAUUUUUGUAGUUAAUCUUGUCAGUUUAAUGGAACAUAUGUUCAUUUUCUUUCUUUGAUUCCAGUGUUGGUUAUGUCUUCUGUGUUUGUUCUGAUUAUUUUCGCCCUAAUUGUCAGCAUUAAUGACCUUUUCCGGUGCUGCUACAGACUCAUGACGAUUUCUAUUUUUAUCACACGGAAAUCUUUCUACAAAAAAUCUUUCAGUUUGCAGAUUUACUUAAUUAACAGAUCAAUGAAAGAACAGAGGACAAAAGGUUCAUAUCAUUUGGUAGCUUCUCACGACAAAAAUGGCAAUGAGAAACAACCCCCAGCUUCCAGAAAAUGUGCAAUAAUUGGUUCCUGAAUUGAGCCAGCAUUAUCUAUUUGAACUCCACUUUCAUGAUAAUUCACAAGCAUAUGCCCUGUCCGGAUACCAUUUAUGCCUACAUUUUAAACACUUGUCAAUCACUCACUAAUAUUUUAUCAAAAUUGGGGUUCACAGACACACGUUUACCAGGAUUUAAUCUGAUUGGAGCUCGCGUACAUGUAUCUAUGUAGUUUUAAUUUCUUCAUUCUUCUUCCAAUUAAAAAUUAGGUAGAGAUAGGUAUUUUUUCUAAUGAUUUGUGGAUAAAAUAGAUGUUCUUUCAAUAUUGAUUUGUAGAGGUAGAAAUUUAAAUUGUUUUAUAAUCAAACUUGAUCUAAAUAGUUCUAAUGGAUGUGUAUGGGAAUACAAGUAGACUUUUGAUUGUGUAAUACAUAUCAGUGAUUAAAAAAUAUAUAUAUAAACACUCACAUGUUUCAUAAGGUUUGGAUAAUAAUAGGAUUAAUAUUAACAAAUUCGUGAAGGAUUAAAUAAAGAGGAAUUUAUUCACUAUCUAAAUGACGGAAGUAAUGAAGUCCAUCAUAAUUAUUAAAGGGUCCUUAGCCUAGAUUAAAUAACUUUUCCCAUCAAUAAGGCUAUCAAGAGAGAAUAAACUAGAAGAUCCAUAAUAUAAUUUGGUACUUAGCACGUUUUGUUCCCAUUUUUGUAUAUAUUUAUAAAAAUUGAUAAUGGAUUAGAAACUCAUGGAUAAUACUUGCCAUAGAAAGCAAAAGACAAAAAAUACAACCACUUAUACCGCAUCAAGUGUCCAACAAAUAUUAUUAGCUCAUACAAUAUUAAUUUUGGAUAGAUCGAUAUAAAUACAGCUUAUACUUAUUCCAGAUUAGAAUCAAUGUGGAUAUGGCUUAUAUUGAUCCCGGAUUGGAGAUCAAUAGUUAUAUAGUAGUUUAUAUGAAAAGUCUGAAGAUAAUUAAUAAUGAUCAAAUUCAGAAAUAUUAAUAGUAAGCAGCACAUAAUUACUAACUGAAUCAUAUGCUAGGAAUUUAGACAUAGGCAAAAACAGUUAUAGAAUCUAACGAUAUAAAAUCAAAUGAACAAAAUGAUGGUGGAGACUGAGAUUUAGAAAGAAAUUUCUCACAAUUUUGUGUUUCUCGGUUUAUAAUUGGCGGCAAAAAGGACUGAAAAAUGAUCUUUUGGCAAUCUAACAAAAAGUCAAGAGAAAUCCAAAUCAAGAAAUUCUCAAGUACAAACACCGACUUGGGUGUUGGAGUACUUUUUGCAGGUACACAUUUGGGUUCAAUUUGUGGAAAUCUUCAAGGGCUACAGAUCAACUUUAGAGCUGGUGAAGUAAACAAGUAUAGUUCACUAUUGGUUUCUUCAUUAAUCAUUUGACAUAGGAUAAUUAAAGGUUUCAUGAACCUUCAGCACCCAUUAAAAAUUUUUAUUUCAGUCAAUGUCCAACAAAAGCCCGAUUUGAUUAGGAAAAAAUGUUCUUUUCACCCCUAAAUUUAAUGCAAUAGCUCAUUUCAUUCAUACUUUUUAAACAAUAGUCCAAAAUGCUUUUUUGUUAAUUUAUUGUUAACAUACUAUAUAAUUCAUUAAGGAUAAAAUAGAACUAUCAAAUAAAGUUAUGCAAAAUAUUUUAAAACAAACUCUCCAACACAAUAAAAAAAAACUUAUAUCUUUAUGCAUAAAUUUAGAAUUUAAUGAUAACUUAAUGAAUAAACAAUAAUAACACUAAGUAAUAUGUAAAAGAUAUAUUUAGGAAAAAAAAAUAUAGAUUUCAUAGGCAAUAGAGUGAUUUUUUUUCAUCCUUUAGCUUCUCAUUGACUUUAUUAUGGUCAAGACAAAUAAAUAAAUAAUCAAUCAGUAUUGUUAUUCGACUAAAAGUAAACACAGACUCUUUCAUUUACUUAAGAAAAAUACACACGAAAGACAUAAAAACACAUAUUUAAAAAUACUAUAGAAUAAAAUAAACUGCAUUAGAGUGUAUUUUUUUUAAUCUUUUAGCUUAUCCCUGACCUUAAUACGGACACCAAUUUGUUAUUGGAAAUUUAUUAUUAUUAUUAUUAUUUACAAAUUUAGUUGACUCCAUAAAAAAUUUAGUGCACACACGAAUGCAUGUGUGUGUGUGUGUGUGUUAUAUAUUCUUUAGUGUUAUUUUUAUUUCAUUAAGUUAUCCUUAGAUUUUAAAUAAUGUAAAAAGUCAGAUAUUAUUCAAUUAUUUUUAAGAUUCUUAUUUUAAAAUGGUUUGCAUUUAUUUAUUUGAAAAAUCUAUUUUAUCCUCAAUGAAUUAUAGAAGAAACUAAUUGUAAAAUUUACUGAAAUUAUUUUGGGCAAUUGUUUGAAAAAUAAGGAUGAAACUAAAUAUUAUUUAGAAAGUAAAGAUGAAAUAAGCUAUUGUGUUAAACCCUAAGGAGGAAAAGACUUAUUUUUUUAAUUGUUGUAGUGAUAGGUCUAAUAAAAAACGUAUGCUAUGUUUACUGAGUGGGAGUGAGGAGUGAGGAGUGUGAAUUUAUUCCACUCUAGUGUUUACUUACAUAUUUUUAAGGAGGAAUGGGAAUCUCACUCUAUAGAUCCCAUCCAUUUUUGGAAUAGGAAGUGGAAGUCCCACUCCCACAGGGGGAGAUGGGAAAAUCCCUUAUUUUAUUAAAUUUAAUUAUAUUAAAUUUAAUAAAAUAAAUAAUAUCAUAUUUAUUUAAAUAAUAUUAUUAUAUUAUUUUAUAUAUUACAUUUAUUAAAAAUAAUAAUAUUAAACUUAUUUAAAUAUAAUAUUAUUAUAUUUAGUUAAAAAUAAUAAUUUACAUUGAUUUUAAGUUAAAAUUACUUAAAAAUAAUACUAUUAUAUUCAUAAAGAAUUAAUAAUAUCAUUAUGUACUAUUUUUAUUUAAAAAUUAAUAUUAUUAAAUUUAUUUAAUAUUAAUGAUUGAUAAUAAUAAAUAGUUUGUUCUAAGAAAAUAUCAAUUUUGUACUAUAUUUUUUAUAAUAAUGUUUUAUUUAUGUUGCUCUUAUCAAUAAAUUUUAAUUUACAUUAUUAAAAUUAAAAUUAAUAAAAUAUUAUGAUUCACAUAAUUAAGAAUAUUAAUAAUUAUUAUUAAUUUACAAAUAUAAUAAAAUAAAUAUUUUCUCCAAUAUAAUUUUUUAUUAAUUCUAAAAUUAAAAACUACAAUUAUUUAAAUAAGGGUAAAACUGUAAUUUGAAAUAUUUACUUUCAAUUCAAGAUAAAGUAAACACAUAAAUUAAAUUCUGAUUUCAAUUUUAUAUUAUUAUUCCAGUGUAAGUAAACAAUCUACUCCCACUUCUACUCUAUACUCUUAAUUUCAGGAUUUUCACUCAAAUUCAAAAUAUAAACAUUAUCUUAAAUAAAUAGAGUCCUAACUUAAACGUUAACUCAUAUCAAAAUUAAUAAAUAAACAAACAUUAACUUUCGUUGUUCACGGAUCAAUUUGAAAGCAAAAGGUUUUGUUUCCGUUGCGAAGAUUUUUUUUUCCUUUAUUUUCUUCUCCAUAGGGUUAUCAGCUACUCCUCUUGGAAAUAGCUUUGUUGAAAUUAGCGGCCAUAGUGGGCUAGACCUGUGCAAUGAAAAGAAAUUCUUUUUAAAAAGAGUUAUAUAUGACCGUUGCAAAUAUAAUUAGACUCUAACAGUUAUAAAGUCGCAUGGUUGAUUUUUAUUACUCUCAUGAAUUUUUAUAUAAAGACAUUUAUUAUGCCUAAAAUAGUAUGUGUAAGAAAUAUGGAAAAUACGACGAACAUAUUAGAAAAUAUAAAUAUAUAACUUUGUUGUAAUCUGUUUCUAUGUUCAGAGAUCAAAAUCACAGGGAAUUAAGAAAUCUAAUUUAUUUUAAUUCGAAGAAUCAAUUAAUAUGGAGACGACUCCUGUAUUUUUUAAUAAUGGAAAUUGAAGCGGUUACGUUUGGAAUAAAAACAAAAAUCUUACAUUCGGAGAUCAAAAUAUAUGCUUGUGAUCAUCAAUUGUAUGUUAAAUAUAGGAAAAUUUACAACUAUCCACCUGUUUAUUUUGUAAUUUUUACAGUGUGCCACCUGACGUUUGCUUUUUGUUGCAUUCGUCAACUUCCGUCUAAUUUCCGUUAGCGAAUUUAAUGAAAUGACAUUUUUAUCCCUCAAAAUUAUAAUUUAACCCAAAAUAAAUAGAUAUUGGAGAUAAAUUGGAUGGAUUUAAUUUUUUUCAAAGGUGGAUGCUAGAAAUUGGAGGAAAAUAAUGUUUGUUACUAAAUUUAGAAAAUUUGUAUUUAUUUUUUUGGAGGAAAAUAGUGUUUGUUGCUUGCUAAAUUUAGAAAAUUUGUAUUUAUUUCAACAAACACUAUUUUCCUCCAAUUUCUAGCAUCCACCUUUGAAAAAAAUUAAAUCUAUCCAAUUUAUCUUUAAUUUCCAUUUUUUUGGGGUUAAAUUAUAAUUUUGAGGGGUAAACAAAUCAUUUCGUUAACAUUCCGUUAAAUCCACUAACGGAAAUUAGAUGAAAGUGGACGAAUGCAACAAAAAGUAAAUUUCAGGUGGCGCGCUGAAAAAAAAGAAAGUAUUUGUAUAUUUUUGAAAAAAAUAAAAUAAACAGGUGGACGGUUGUAAAUUUUCCUUAAAUAUAUUCAAAUACCAAAAAACUUUAAGCUUCCUACUUUACCCUUAGACCUUCCACGUUUUUAAUGUGGACAUACAUUCAUUUUCAGGCACCGCAGCGUACAAGAGCCAGAACCAAGAACCAAAAGAGGACAAACCGACCAGCUGGAAUGACAAGUGGCAAAAUAGGAGCCAAAAACUUUACAUUCAUUACAUUAUCACGGUGUCAGUGUGGCCAAGAAUUUUUUUUUUUUUUUUUAACUGGGAUUAAUUAGUGAUGAAUAGAGAUAUGAACUGCUUUUUCUGAUUUAUUUUAAAUUAAAAAAAAAAAAACAAUGAUUGGUGGCGGCCGUAUGCAUUAACAAUGAAACGUGGCAGGAUAUGAGUGAUUAGAAGAAUCAACGGAGGUGGUGCCGGUUGGACCAUGGGUUGGAUGGGCGGUGGUGCUGAUAGAUGAAUGAUCAUUGGUGAUUGGUCGGUAUGUUCAUCCACGUCACGACCUCCCAAUACACAUAAUGCAUAUGAUUUGUGGGGCCACACGCCAAACGUGUCAGAUUAUCAGCCAUUUAUGUGAAGUUGUUUUUUUUCUUUGGGUCAAUUUAAUUUAAUUAAUUUAAAUUAAAUUUAGUUCAUUGGUCGGAAAAAUAAUACGACAUCCAUUGGGUGAGCUGCUGCUUUGUUAAUUGUUAGUAGUAUUUCAUGUAUAUUCCUUCAGUAAGUUAACCGUAAUGUUUGAAUGAUUACAAAAAUAUUCUUGAUGAAAGAUACUACCAUUUAAGAAAUAAACAUUGAUCGUGAGGAAAAUGAUCAGAAUCAUCUUACACUUAAACCCAUUAAUUCAACUAGUUCAUGAACUAAUAACAAUUGUAUUUGUAGUACUUGAUUAAAUGCAUCUUCAUUCAAUUAAAAAUGCAAGAGUACGAUAAAAGAUACACAACUAAAUAGUAAAUAUCUUUUGUGAAUAUAUUUAAUAAGAAUUUUUCUUAAUUGUAGGUGUUUUUUUUUGUGUAGACACACUAUUAAGUCAUAUUAUAUGAUUUAAUAAAAUUAAUACAUAUAUAUUAUUAAAUCAUAUAAUUUUAUAAUGAAUUGAAUAUUAAUUAUGUCAACCUAAAUGGUUUUUUUUUUUUUUUUUGAUUACAUGAGACUAUUGCUCAGAUUACAACUCAUAUACAUGAGACUAUUACUGAUAUUUACAAAUCAGACUAUUACUGGGACCAACUGACAUCAAUACUAAUGGAGCUCUGCCCAGAUUUUAACCCUCACAAAUAUUCGAGGGAUGUCUACUGCUCACUCAUGGGUAAGGGAGAAGACUACAUUCACUCAAAUUAAUUGAGGAAGAAAAUACCCCCACAAUACUUUUGUGGGGGUUUGAACUGCUGCCCUCCAAGUUGGAGGGCAGCAGCCCUGGCCACUCGGGCUGCUAAAUGGUUUAAUAUAGUAUGUUUGCAUGAAAAAAAUGAUGGGACAUCCAGCUGAGAAUUUCUAUAAGUAGUAAUACAUAAAGUGUAAAAUAAAAUUAAAGUCUUUUAUCGAUCUUUUGGCUAGCCAAAUCAUUGAGAUCCAGAAUAGCAACCCCAAUAAUCUAAUUUGGUGGGGCUAAGAAAGUAGAAAAUGAAAGACACCAAAACAAUAGCUCGAUGGGGCGGCAAAAAACUAUGUUUAAUUCAUACUCAAUCAUCUCUUUAAACUCCCCCAUAAAUACCCUCCACUUUCCUCACUCUUUUUCAUCACUUAAAUAAAUCCACAACUCUCUUAUCUCCUAUUGGGAAAUUUUUAUUUUUUUAAAUUCUCAGUGAAGACCAAUCCGUAGCAAUGGCCAAGGACAUUGAGGUUGGUGGGCAAGGCGAGUUCCAUGCUAAGGAUUACCAUGACCCUCCGCCAGCUCCAUUGAUCGAUGCCGAGGAGCUCACUAAAUGGUCGUUUUACAGGGCUAUUAUAGCUGAGUACAUCGCCACGCUCUUGUUUUUGUACAUUACUGUGCUGACAGUGAUUGGUUACAAAAGCCAGACUGACGCCAACCACGGCGGUGACGGAUGUGGUGGUGUUGGCAUUCUGGGCAUCGCUUGGGCCUUUGGUGGCAUGAUCUUUGUUCUUGUUUACUGCACUGCUGGUAUCUCUGGUAAGUCAGUCUAAAGGUGUUUGAUAUCUUUUGUUGCUGUGUAUAUGCACGUAUGUUCAUUUCUCAAAGGUGUUUGAUAAAAUUGUACGCGCAGGUGGACACAUUAACCCGGCGGUGACAUUUGGCCUGUUCUUGGCGCGGAAGGUGUCACUGGUGCGAGCCGUAAUGUACAUGGUGGCUCAGUGUUUGGGAGCCAUAUGUGGCUGCGGGCUCGUUAAGGCUUUCCAGAAGUCUUACUACACGAGAUACGGCGGUGGAGCCAAUGAGCUCGCUGAUGGGUACAGCACUGGCACUGGAUUGGGUGCUGAGAUCAUUGGUACCUUUGUUCUUGUCUACACUGUUUUCUCCGCCACUGAUCCCAAGAGAAAUGCUAGGGACUCCCAUGUUCCUGUAAGUGAUCACAGUUUCUUAUGCUCAUCUGAUUUAAGAGAUAACAGAAACUUUACCAACAUCUGGUUGAAUGGUUGAUUGAUUGUUUAUAUAUGUUUGAAUUGAAAGGUCUUGGCACCAUUGCCAAUUGGAUUUGCUGUGUUCAUGGUUCACUUGGCUACGAUCCCUGUCACUGGAACUGGCAUCAACCCCGCUAGAAGUUUGGGAGCUGCAGUGAUUUACAACAAGGACAAGGCUUGGGAUGAUCAAGUAUGCACCAACCGGAUUUGAUUCUAAUUUUCUCUCUAAUCCUGUUUCUUGUUAUGCUAAUAUAAAGUUUAUUUUUUUGUAUUUGUUGCAGUGGAUCUUCUGGGUUGGCCCCUUCAUUGGUGCUGCAAUUGCUGCAUUUUACCACCAAUUCAUCCUCAGAGCAUCUGCUUCUAAAGCUCUUGGAUCCUUCAAAAGCUCCUCCAACAUUUAAUUAGCUUUUAAAAUAAUUACUGGAGGAUUAAUCAAUGGCUGUCAAGCGACUUCGCGACUAUGGAAUUUGUACAUUAUUUUAUUUGCAUCAGUAUUUAGUAGAGCUGGUGUAGAUCCCGCAGCACUUUGUGUGUGUCUUUUGUUUACCUGCGGGCACUUGUUUUUAGUGUGCCCCAAAAAUUGUUAUUUGCUUUGCUUUUCUUCCCCUUUUCGACGUCUGUACUCGUGGUUUUAUCUAAAAUUUCAAUAGUGAGUGCUUUAUGGCAUACAAUUGUGCCCAUUAAAUAAAAGGAGAGGGUAAUUCCCUUAAGAUAGAACAUAGUUUAUCUUGUUUAUUAUUUAUUUUUCUGAGAAUUACUCGUAACAUCUUCUUUUAACUAGUAGGUUGGUUGAUUACAAACUUCAUUGAUGUAAGUUAAAGAUUGAACUAUAUAAAUUUGAUGUGUUAUUUAGAUUUAUGUAGAUUUUACUUUUAUGGUGUGUUUACUAAUUGGGAAUCAGAAUAAGAAUAAGGAAAUAGAAAUUAAUUAUGUGUUUACUUCCUUAAAUGAGAGGUGGAAUGAGAAUUACCUAAAAUUAUGAAUGAUUAUUAGAGUUCUCAUUCCCACCUCCCCAUGGGGAGGUGGGAAUGAGAAUCUCAUUUCUAAAGUGACCAUAUUACUCCUACUUAAAUCUUGAAAUUUUUAUUUUAUCCUUCCUUAUAUUAUUAUUAUUAUAGUAAUUUUAUUAUUAAUAUUAGUUAUAAUGAUUAAUAAUAAUAAUAAUAAUAAUUAUUUUGAUAAUUGUAAUUAUUAUUAUUAUUAUUAUUAUAAAUUUUAAUAUUUAUAAUAGUAAUUAUUCAUCAUAAUUAUUAAUAAUAUUUAUAAUUGUUAUAAUGAUUAUUAUAAAUUUUAAUAUUCAUAAUUAAUUACUAUUAUCAAUAUUAAAAUUUAUAAUAAUAAUAAUAAUUACAAUUAUCAAAAUUAUUAUUAUUAUUAUUAUUAUUAUUAUUAUUAAUGACAAUAAUCAAUUAAGGUCAGUUUAGUAACUUAUAACAAUCUAUUCUGAUUCCAAGAUAAAGUAAACAUAUCAAUGACAAUACAACUCGUUUCGAUUUUGAUUUCCACAGUUAAAGUAAACAAUUCAUUCUUAUUUCCAUUCUCAAUUCCGAUUCCAGCCCAUUUCAAUUCCACUUCAUUCCGAUUCCACCCCAUUCCAAUUACUAAUUAGUAAACACACCAUUAUUUUAGUUCUAGAGGAAUAUAUUAUGUUUGGCUCCUGAGCUCUCCAAGUUGUUUCGAAGCUUUCUUGCGCUUUUUGUUAGCUCCAUAAAGCUCCUUUGACCUCAAUGAGCUCUUUAUGAUAUCCUAUUGAGACUCCUUUAAGCUUGUCUAAGCUCUAUGAUCACUCUUUAAUCCCUUGAGCUUCCUUUUGAGCUCCGUUGAGUUCUCUAAAUUAGCCCGUUAGAGCUUUGUAGAGUACACAGUUAACAUGCACUAGAACGAUAAGCGAUUUAUCCAUUGUUCCUCUAGACUCCACAAAUUUUAAUACAUUUGAUCUUAUCUUUGGGCUAGGGUUUGUAAUUUGGGUUGGUGGGUCAAAUUCAUGUCAAACUCUAAAUGAAUUGUGUCAACCUUUUUUGCUAACCUAAAUUCGAGCUAUUUAAUAAAUGAAUUAUAUGAUGUAGGACCAGUUUAAUAAUGCUAUUUUAAAAUAAUUGUUGUUAGUUAUGCUAUACAAAUAAUCAUUUGUAAAGAGAAUUAUUAAAAUAUUGAGUAAAAUUUAUUUUAAAAAGUAUUGCGAAUUUUAAAAGUAGUCAUAUGUCUUUGUUAAAUAUUUUUAUUAAGGUAUUGGAAGAAUGUAAAUGAUUGAAAUAAAAAUAAUAUAAAAUAAAAUUUAUUCACCCAUUUAUAAAAAAAUGUAUGUAUAAUUUUUUCUUUGUUUUAUCUAAUAAUUUAUAACAACAAUAGAUGUUUAUAUUUUAUUUAUUUUAGUAUCUCACUAUUAUAGGUAAUAGUAAUAAUCUCUUUAAAAUUAAUGAUUCUGUUUACUAAUUACAUAAGGAUAAUUUUAAAUUUUUAUAAAUAUAUGUGAGAAUAUAUACAAAAUUGUAUUAACAUAUUUAAAAAAGCUGCUCUUUACCUACUUCUUAAAAUCUACUGUAGAAUGGUGUGAUUUUGGCAAAAAUAAUCUUUUUAAAAAUUACCAAAUAUUAAAAUUAGUUUUUUUUAAAAUUAAUUUUGAUCUUCUCAAAAGUAAUUCUAAAUGGACCUUGAUUUUUUAAAGACAAUUUUUAAAUGAACCUUAAAGAGUUUUACCACGACACAUUCUUUAGGUUCGACACAAUUAUCAAACAAAUAAUUUUUAUUAUUUGUUUGAUUGUUUAACUUAAAUUUUUAUUAUUCAUUUGAUUAAAAAAUGGGUAUAAUAUCACCUAAUGACCUCAAUAUAAAUCAAACCUGAUUAGUUAAUAAAUAAUUCGACAUAAUUAUUAAACAAAUAUACGAAAAUUCGACAUAUUGAUUAAUCAAAUUAAAAUUUCAAACCAUAGUCCAAACUUAUUAUUUUAUUUUCUUAUAUUUAAUUAUUUUUCGAGCUAGUCUCAAUAGACUCUACACUUAUUGCAAAUACAAAUACAAACAUUUAGCCACUUGGGCUUUAGCCCAAUGGUGAACCAUUACCCUUAAAGUUAAGCAUGAAUUUUAGGGCAAUAGUUCGAGUCCUCAUGGAUUCAAAAUAUCUCCCUCAAUUAAACUUAAUUGUGUGGAGAUAUUUGUAAAGUCUUUCUCCCUUGGGGAAUGCGAGUGGAGUAGAGACACCCCUUCUUAGUGAGGGUUAUUUGUCUGUGCAUUUACUUUAUAUAAUUAAAUAUAAUAAUAUAGUGUAUUGAUCUGCUGUCAUAGCAAUUGUAAAUAUCUGUGUAAUACAGUAAUCUGAUGCUUAAUCAGUUAAAAAAAAAUACAAACAUUUAAAUUCUCGUAGACUUCAAAUUAUAAUAUUGGCAUUGCGUAACCAAUUUGAAAAAGAAAGUUCAUUUGCUUUCACGACUUGGUAAAGCAUUGAAAUUUGUAAAAAGAGAAUUUUCGUAACAAUUUUUUCAACCAGACAAGUUACCUCAGUUUAACUCAAAUUAUGUAGUAUUCCUAUUAAUCUAGCUAUUAUCAAUGAGAAACUCUCACCAUAACACAGCCGAAAGUGAAAGAGAAUAAAUUUAUCAUCAUUCUUAAGGUUUGAAGAUUCGAAUCUUUCCAUGUGACUGUGGCUUCAAAUAAAUUAUUGUGUGGAAUGGAAAUUUUAUCAAGUCACGUGUCAUAAAGGUCAGCUUCUUCUUGAUUAAAAUAAGGUUAUAUUUGAUUAAAAAUUGAGGCCUGGUAGUUUUUGAUCCACCUAAUUCUGUCGUGUGAUUUGCAGAAGUAAGGCCCAAAAGUGUAUCCAGAUGUUGGUAUGAUCUAAAUAAGUUUCAAUUGCAACUUUAACUAUGGCUGUUGUUUUAUUAAGUAGUAUAUUUAGGCUAAAACAAUAGUAGCACAUGCUGUGAUAGUGGUGCGGGAGUGGAGUACACUAGUGAAUAAUGGAGAAUUAUUAACUUAAUAUUAAUAUUCUAGAGUUGUGAUAGGCUAUAAAAUGUGUUUGGGGAAAAUGUGAAAAAAUGGAGUGUUUUUGGAAAAUGAAUAUGAAAAUGUGUUAGGUAAUGGUUGUAAAAAAUGUUUCUUGAAAUGAAUUUUUAGAGAAAAUCAGAAAAUAUUUUCCCUAAAAUGUUUAUGAGAGAAUACUGAAAUGUUUUCUCGGAUUGUUUUUGAAAAAAGUUUUUAGAUUGAAUCUAAAAAAAUAGUUUUGGAGAAAAAUAGAUUUUGAAAAUGCUCUUCACUUACAUUAAUUGUCUCUUAGAUUAGCUAAUUUCAAACUCAAUCAAAAGGCCUCCACUCUUCAAUGCAAGCCCUUUUAUAGCCAAUUGAUGGCUUCAAAAGUCAAUAAAUGCAUGCUUUUCAUUGAAUAUCAAUGCAUACUUUAUUCAUGCAUUUAAUCUAUUUAACAAGCCAUGCAUUUAUUCUAAUCCAUGUAGGGGUGGGCACCGUUUCAGAUCGAUUCGGUUUUGGAGUAAAUCGAUAUUUUUGAUUCAAUUUAGUUUGGAAAUUUCAAAAAUUUGAUUCGGAAAUUUCUAUUCAAUUCAUUUGAUAUUAAUCUAUUCAGUCCUUUUAGUUAUGAAACACUGAACUGAAACUAAAAAAAUCGAGUCGAACCAAACUCUUUGGGUUCGGUCUGGUUCGACCCACUCGUAAAGCCCACGUGGCAUUUUUUAGUUUAAAACUUAUUUUUCUAAUUUUUUGGUUCAAUUUCUGGAUUUGAAAUUGGAAAUUAAAAACCGAACUGGAGUAUUCAGUUUUAUAUUGAAUUAAAAUAUUUAGUUUUUUUUCUAAGAAAAAUACUGAACUGACUCUUAAAAUAUUGAACAAAACGAUAAUUUUUCAAGUCUAGUUUGGUUCUGUCCACCCCUAAGUACAUGUCUUACAUUAAAUGUCUAGUUCUUCCCACCCCUAAAUUCAUGCGCUUUACAUUAAAUGUCAAUACAUGCUUUGUCCAUGCAUCUAAUCCACAUGCAUUUCACAUUGUCAACCGUGUGCAUUUAACUAUGAUACAUGCUCGCCAAAGUGAGCCUUUUUCGCCAAUAAUUAUCUAUUAACUCCUUGAUUUUUAAUUCAAAAAUCAGUAAAUACUUUAUGUAUGUGAAUCAGCAAGUAUGUGUGUGCUUUAGGAUUUAUGGUGUGUUUACUUCUUAGAAUAAGGAAUGAGAAUGGAGGAAUGAGAAUCAAAGCUAUGUUUACUUGACAAAAUUAAAUUUGGGAAUGUGAAUAAAUUGUGUGGGUCCCACACAAUUUGGGAAUAAAGAAUGGGAAUUCCAUUCCCAUGGGGGGGUUGGGAAUGAAAAUGUGGAAAUGAAAAUGAAACAUAAAUUUACUUUUCUAUCCUUCUAAUUUUUUCAUAUUUCCUAAAUUACCCUUAUUCAAAUCACAAAUAAUUUUAUUAUUUUAAAUGUCAUUAAUAAUAAUAAUUAUUAUUAUUAUUAAAUUUUUUAUUAACUUUAUUAUUUUAGUUAUUAUUAAAUAUUUUUAUUUUUAUUUUUAUUAAUAUUAUCAUUAUUAACAAUAAAAAUAAUGAUAAAAAUAAUAAUUAAUAAAAAUAAUUAAUUUAUCAUUAUUAACAAUAUUAUCAUUAUUAUUGUUUUUGUUAUUAUUAUUAUUAUUAUUAUUAUUAUUAUUAAAAAUAAUAAUAACAAUAAUUAAUAAUAACUAAAAUAAUAAAGUUAAUAAAAUUUAAUAAUAAUAAUAAUAAUAAUAAUGUAAUUUUCAUUAUGUACGUAAAUGUAUAAAUAUUAUUAUAAAAAUGAUAUUAAUUAAAUAAUAAUAAUAAUAAAUUUAAUAAUGAUAAUAUUAAUAAAAAUAAUAUUAACAGUAAUUAAUAAUAACUAAAAUAAUAAAGUUAAUAAAAUAUAAUAAUAAUAAUAAUAAAUGUUAAUAAUGAUAAUAUUAAUAAAAAUAAUAAUAACAAUAAUUAAUAGUAAUUAAAAUAAUAAAGUUAAUAAAAUUUAAUAAUAAUAAUAAUAAAUGUUAAUAAUGAUAAUAUUAAUAAAAAUAAUAUUAACAGUAAUUAAUAAUAACUAAAAUAAUAAAGUUAAUAAAAUAUAAUAAUAAUAAAUGUUAAUAAUGAUAAUAUUAAUAAAAAUAAUAAUAACAAUAAUUAAAAAUAACUAAAAUAAUAAAGUUAAUAAAAUUUAAUAAUAUUAUUACAAGACAUGAAUGAUUUUUCUUGAUGUCUUGAUCCUGAUUUCCCAUAGAGAGAGAGAGAAGAGCCUGUUCCUAAAGCCAACAAAAUCCAUUGGGAAUUAACCCUACCUACUGUCAAGUCUCCACCUGACUUAGACAUAGACAAUAGGCCAAGUGCAUUAACUUUGGGAAAUUAGGAUCAAGACAUCAAGAAAAAUCAUUCUUGUCUUGUAAUUUUCCCUUUCUAUUUUUCCUUUCUACAACAAUCUGUAAACAUUUUCCAUUGUAAAGCUCUCGGAUCCAAGCGAUAAAUGUAAGCAUUUAAUUUUCAAUUAAAAGAAUUUAUUUAAAGCAUUAAAUGUAUGUUUAAAUUUUGCAAAUUUAUCUUCAAAGGCAUGAUCUGCAGGCUGAUCUUUUAUAUCAGACUCCUGCCAUUAAAAUUGUUACUUUCCUCUAAGGCAAAGAGACCGGAUCUCUGUCCUUAGUUGUAUUUCUCUUCUCCCUCUUCAUUCAGAAUACUAUUUCUGGGAUCCAGAUCUAGUAUUAUCUAUGAGCCUUUAGAUCUUGUUGCUAGGCUUGAUUAAAGACCAUUAAAAUAUUUUAGUAUAUCGGCUGGAAAACAGAACGUGCGUGAUAUUGAUAUGUUCUAAGUCAGAUCUGGUCACAAAGGCAGAUUAAGUUCUGCAUCGAUCUGGCAACAACGCCACGUACUAAAUAAAGUACUUAGUAGAUUCCUAUUCCUAUUAUUCACUUGCAUUAAAGUUUGAUAUUUUGAAUUCUGCUUAAUCACUUCCAUCCUUCGAUCCUAUUCCCUAAUUAUUAUUAUUAAAUUUUAUUAACUUUAUUAUUUUAGUUAUUAUUAAUUAUUGUUAUUAUUAUUUUUAAUAAUAAUAUUAAUAAUAAUAACAACAACAACAAUAAUGAUAAUAUUGUUAAUAAUGAUAAAUUAAUUAUUUUUAUUAAUUAUUAAUAUUAUGAGUAUUUUAGUAAAGUGUUUCUCAUUUCCAUUCCUCAUUCCCAUUUAUUUUGUUAAGUAAACACAUUAAUGGCAUUCCAACACAUUCUCAUUCUCAUUUAUUUUUGUCAAGUAAACAUUGAAAUCUCAUUCCCAUUCCUCAUUCUCAUUCCCAGCUUAUUUUUAUUCCACCCCAUUCCCAUUCCCAUAAAGUAAACGCACCAUUAGUGUGUUAAACAACUUAUUAUUAUUUUCUUAGAAUGAUUGGUUCUUCAUUAGUUCGUUUUGCAAAACAUUCCUUUAUGGGUUAAGAUCCCCCAAGUGGAUUGGUUCUUCAUUAGUUCGUUUUGCAAAACAUUCCUUUAUGGGUUAAGAUCCCCCAAGUGGACUUAAUUAAAGGUUCAAUGUGAUCUGAAUCUUACUACCCCAAUACAAUAGCGUGGGUUCAAUAUGAAAAAUAUACCUUAUGAAUUGAUCUAGGAGCCUGACACCAAUUAUUAGGUGGUAAUAAUUAUAUAUUUAUAUUAAAGAUAAAGUGGGAAAUUUCAUUCCCUAAUGAACAAAAGCAAUGUUAGCCAAAAUUUGAAGCUCAUGAAAACUAACUUUUCAACUGUGAAGUACAAAAAUCUGAUCUAGUGUGUGUAGCCGCAAAUGAUGUGCAUAAGGCGGGCACCCGAAGUUCACAACAGAAUUUCUCAAAAAGAACUCGUCAUGCGCACAACCGCACACCAUAGCAUUCGCGACUGCUUCCACCAGAUCAAAUUGCUUCAAAUAUAAACAAUUGAUCAAAUAAAUACAAUGAUUGGUGGCGCCCAUCAUGACAAUGAAACGUGGCAGGAACUGAGUGGUUCUGACUUAGAUUUGGAUGGACGUCGGUGGGUGCUGAUUGGUGAAUGAAUUAUGGACGGAGGCUGGUCGGUUUGUUCACGCACAUCACGGACUCCUCAUUUUCAUUUGACGGAUGAGCCCCGUCAGCCAAGGUUGGAUACACGUGUCAAAUCAGGAGCCAUAUAUUUGGAUGAACAAUCAUUGGGAGCCACAACGACGUCGCUUUGACAAUUUGUUUCCCGUCCUCUAAGCUUUUGCCUCGAGAAAUGUUACUCUGGGCUGCUAUUCUUUUGGAGGCUUUACCAUUAUCUGUCAUCAUCAUAUGAAAAAUGAAAAUGGGGUAAACAUUUUUCUCUUGUGACUAUUUGGAUACCCUUUGGUAUAUAUUCUCUUACCUUUUAUACCUCUAGAGGUAUAACUAAAUAAAUUAUCCAUUAAUGCUAAGUAAAUCAAGUUUUCCUUUAAUAAGAAAUUAGCUAAGGAUGUUCUAAUAACUACAAGGUAAUCUCAAAUAUAUCAUUAGAGAAACAAACGUUGAUCCGCAUGUAACAUGACCAUGUUCAUCUUAACACUUAGUUACUAUGUACACUUUUUUUCUGAUAAGUGAAAUCUAUUGGGAUUUUUAAAUAACAUUCUUUGCCUUUAGUAGUUUGUUAGAAUUAGAACAUACUCGAAACUCUUAUCAUCGACUUUAGUUUAGUCAAAUUAUAGAAAGCCAGAAUAACAACCCGCAUAAAUUUGUUUGGUGGGGAUAAGAAAAUGAAAGACACCAAAAUAUUAGCUAGAUGGGGCGGCAAUACUAAGUUUAAUUAAUACUCAAUCAUCUAUUCGAACUCCCCCAUAAAUACCCUCUACUGGUUCACUCAUCUUCAUCACUCAAAAAAGUCCACACAUCUCUCUCUUCUCUGGAAAAACUCUUAAAAUUAUCAGUGAAGAGCAAUCUCUAGCAAUGGCCAAGGACAUUGAGGUUGGUGGGCAAGGCGAGUUCCAUGCUAAGGAUUACCACGACCCUCCUCCAGCUCCAUUGAUCGAUGCCGAGGAGCUCACCCAAUGGUCAUUUUACAGGGCUAUUAUAGCUGAGUUCAUCGCCACGCUCUUGUUUUUGUACAUCACUGUGCUGACAGUGAUUGGUUACAAGAGCCAGACUGACGCCAACCACGGCGGUGAUGGAUGUAGUGGUGUUGGUAUUCUGGGCAUCGGUUGGGCCUUUGGUGGCAUGAUCUUUGUUCUUGUUUACUGCACUGCUGGUAUCUCUGGUAAGUCAGUCUAAAGGCGUUUGAUAUCUUUUGUUGCUGUGUAUAUGCACGUAUGUUCAUUUCUCAAAGGUGUUUGAUAAAAUUGUACGCGCAGGUGGACACAUUAACCCGGCGGUGACAUUUGGGCUGUUCUUGGCGCGGAAGGUGUCACUGGUGCGAGCCGUAAUGUACAUGGUGGCUCAGUGUUUGGGAGCCAUAUGUGGCUGCGGGCUCGUUAAGGCUUUCCAGAAGUCUUACUACACGAGAUACGGCGGUGGAGCCAAUGAGCUCGCUGAUGGGUACAGCACUGGCACUGGAUUGGGUGCUGAGAUCAUUGGUACCUUUGUUCUUGUCUACACUGUUUUCUCCGCCACUGAUCCCAAGAGAAAUGCUAGGGACUCCCAUGUUCCUGUAAGUGAUCACACUUUCUUAUGCUCAUCUGAUUUAAGAGAUAACAGAAACUUUACCAACAUCUGGUUGAAUGGUUGAUUGAUUGUUUACAUAUGUUUGAAUUGAAGGUCUUGGCACCAUUGCCAAUUGGAUUUGCUGUGUUCAUGGUUCACUUGGCUACGAUCCCUGUCACUGGAACUGGCAUCAACCCCGCUAGAAGUUUGGGAGCUGCGGUGAUUUACAACAAGGAGAAGGCUUGGGAUGAUCAAGUAUGCACCAACCGGAUAUUAUUCUAAUUUUCUCUCUAAUCCUUUUUCUUGUUAUUCUAAUAUAAAGUUUAUCUUUUGUAUUUUUUGCAGUGGAUCUUCUGGGUUGGCCCCUUCAUUGGUGCUGCAAUUGCUGCAUUUUACCACCAAUUCAUCCUCAGAGCAUCUGCUUCUAAAGCUCUUGGAUCCUUCAAAAGCUCCUCCAACAUUUAAUUAACUUUUAAAAUAAUUACUGGAGGAUUAAUCAAUGGCUGUCAAGCGGCUUCGCGACUAUGGAAUUUGUACAUUGUUUUAUUUGCAUCAGUAUUUAGUAGAGCUGGUGUAGAUCCCGCAGCACUUUGUGUGUGUCUUUUGUUUACCUGAGGACACUCGUUUUUAGUGUGCCCCAAAAAUUGUUAUUUGCUUUGCAUUCCUUCCCCUUUCGACUUCUGUACUCGUGGUUUUAUCUGAAAUUUCAAUAGUGAGUGCUUUAUGGUAUACAAUUGUGCCCAUUAAAUAAAAGGUGAGGGUGAUUCCCUUCAAAUAGAACAUAGUUUAUCUUGUUUAUUAUUUAUUUAUUUUUUAGAAUUACUCAUAACAUCUUAUUUUACCUAGUAGGUUGGUUGAUUACAAACUUCAUUGACGUAAGUUAAAGAUCGAACUACAUUAAUUUAAUGUGUUGUUUAGAUUUAUGUAAAUUUUAUCUUUAUUUUACCUCUAGAGGAAUAUAUUAUGAUUGGCUCCUUGAGCUUCCCACGAGCUUCCUUGCACUCUAGGAGCUCUCCAAGUUGUUUCUAAGUUUUCUUGAGCAUUUUCCUUUUUUUGUUUUUUUUUUUAAGCUCCGCUCCUUGACCUGAAUGAGCCCUCUAAGAUAUAUCCCAUUGAGCCUUUCUUUAAACUCUAUGAGCACUCUUUAGUCCCUUAAGCUUCCUAUUGAGCUCUGUUGAGUUCUCUAAAUUAGCCCUUCAGGGCUUUGCGGAGCACACAAUUAACAUGCACUAGAACGAUAAAGGAUUUAUCCAUUUUUCCUCCAUACUCAACAAAGUUUAAUACAUUUGGUCUUAUCUUUGGGCUAGGGUUUGUAAUCUGGGUUGGUGGAUCAAAUUCACGUCAAACUCUAAAAUGAAUUGUGUCAAAUUUUUUUGCUAACCCAAUCCAUCUAAUAAAUGAAUGAUAUGAUGUAGAACCAGUUUAAUAAUGCUGUUUUAAAAUAAUUGUUAUUAGUUUUGUAAAAAAAAAUCAAGUAUAAAGAGAAUUAGUUAAAUAUUUAGUAAAAUCUAUUAUUAAAAGUAUUCCAAAUUUGAAAAGUAGUCAAAUGUGUUUAUUAAAUAUUACUAUUAAACUGCUGUAAGAAUGUAAAUAACUGAAAUGAAAAUAAUAUAGAAUAAAAUUUAUUUGCACAUUUAUAAAAAAAUAUAUGUAUAGUUUUUUUUAUUGUUUUUAUCUAAUAAUUUAUAAUAACAAUAUAUAUAUUUAUAUUUUAUUUAUUUUAAUAUCUCAACAUAAUUGGUAAUAGUAAUAAUCUCCUUAAAUUUUAUUAUCUAUUUCCUAAUUAAAUAAGGAGAAUUUUGAAAUUUUAUAAAUAUAUGUGAGGAUAUAUAAGAAAUUGUAUUAAUACAUUUUAACAAGCUGCUCCUCCCCUUUUAAAAUCUACCAUAGAAUGGUGUGAUUUUACCAAAAAUAAUUUUUAAAAGAAUUUUAGUUCCUACCUUUUCAAAAUUAUGUUUGAGCCUCUCAAAAGUAAUUCCAAAUAUUUAGAUUCUCUCAAAAGUACUUUCUACAAAUAUAAGUAAAAACGGUUAUAUUCUCAUAGACUUCAAAUUAUAAUAUUUGUAUUGCGUAACCAAUUUGAAAAGAGUAAUGCUAGAAGGACAUAAUCUUGACAUUAUGAUGACAAAUUUCAAAUUUCUUUAAUUCUUUUGGUUACCAAAAAAAUUUUAUAUUUAUCUAAACGACCCUUAAUCUUAAUGAUUUUCAAUAGUUGGAUCAUUCCUUCUUCCUUCUCUUCUACAUCUAUCCUUAAACCUUUUUAAAAUUUUGACUAUAAUUUUAUGAAUUUCUAAAUAAUUAUCAUACUUAUCUAGAUCUAUAAAUUCUAGAUUAGACCAUGCAUUUAUGAUUAUUUGUCUCUCUUGAGAUAUAAACUAAAUUUUUUCUUCUAACAUAUCUACAUAUACAUUCAAUCUAUUUUCCCAACUAAGGAUCAAACUAUCAAGACUCUCACAUAGAAACUAUAAAGUAAAUUCAGCUUGUUAAAUCGACAAUUUCACGUUAUCAUUGUUGUUAUCCAUCAUUUAUGGACGAUCUCGAAUUUUAUUAUUAGCUUUCCAUCUGUCUUGAAUUAUUUCAAGAUUGGAUAAAAUGGAUUUCAUUAAGGCUAUCCUAUUUUCUUCUUCAAAAGAAUCAAAUAUUUCUUGAUCAUUAUUAAGGUUAAUUCUUUUCAUCUCUUUGUACAAGCAUUUGCUUAUAUGUAAUCUAGUUUUAAUAAUGGAAAUUGUAUAAAUAAAUUGGUAUUCUUGAUUAAAAGCUAAGUUACCAACUGCAUCUAAAAACUUAUUAACAAAUCUUUCCAUUUUGAUAAAUUUGAAUUACUUUUAUCACUUUCUAUCUUAUAAAAUCCUAGAAAACAAAGAAAGCCCAACAUGCUUUCGUUUUUUGCUAAAAUAUAAGAAAAUAGUUCGAAAUUACUAACUGGUGUACUAUCCCUCGGAAUUCUAGAAUAGAUUCACUAAUUGCCUCUAACCGUAGAUUGGUCCAUGGUCAGCAUUGCCAUAGCUCACACAUAUCAUGCAAGACUCCAACGAUUGUUCUACAUGGCUUAACACAACACACAACAGAUUUGCCUAAUAGGAUAUGUCUAAAUGAAUUUCUUGCAAUUGUCUUUGGAAGAGUGCUUAGUAACAGGAAAUCCUCUUCGUUUAGCACAUGUGUUGGCCUGUAAGAUUCUUGGUUAAUCUCUAAGAAUAAAUAAGAUAUAUGGAAGGUAAUAAUUUCACUCAAAGAAGUUUCAUUUUUUCAUAACCAAAAUUUUUACAAAGGAAGAAAAAUAUAGAUGUGAGUGAAGGUUUAGACAUCGUAUACCCUCUCCUUCUUACAUGAUUCUAUUUAUAAGCUCAAAGAGAUAAGGUUAUCUCUUCUUAUAUGAGACUUGUUACAUACUUUUGUUUGAUGGUGGAUUCACUGGAGAUAAGUGUUCCUCAUUCUUCUAUCAUUGAGGAUAGUUUUUGUCUUCUUUUUCUUUUGGUCGACAACCUUCACAUGAUUUUUAUAAGCUUUAUCAUUUUGGAAUCUUUUUUUUUUAAUUAUUUAUGCUUUGAGCUAGCAUCUUUUAUCAUUUUUAGUGACUUUUCUAUCACAUGCCUAUUUUCAGUUCCUCACCUAGUGAUAUGUCUUCCUCGCUAGAUUUCUCUUUUGAAACUUCGCAACAGUCGCCACAUGAUAAUUGAUGCUUUAACACUUUGAAUAUCUCGUGGUGUUUUGACAAGGUAGAUUCCACGAGAUUUUUAUAUAUUGUCUUUUUCUUUUUCAAUAUUACCUGCUUGGCUAGUAUGCUUUCUUUUUUGCUCAUAGAAAAGAUUAUAUGCUCUUUUUGUAGUCUCAUGGAGCCAUACCUUUUCCUUACUUAUCCUCUCGAGUGAUUCAUAGAGAACUUUCAUCCUAAUGGCCCUUUUGCUACUGAGAGCUUUAGGCUCAAAUAGUUCGAGAUUAUAGUCAUUGUAGACCUGAUCUAGAUCAAUAAUUGGACUUACUUUCUUACCGUUAAUGCCAACUUAAAUCAUGUGUUGUGCCAGAUACCAUUUGUUAUCAUAGUAUUUAAGGCAAGUAGCGAGAACCUUAAUAAAAAUAAUUUCUUUUGUCUUAAAUAUCAUUUUAAGGUCGUUGAUAGACUCUUUAAUUUUUUCUGAAAACUCUUCAAAUUUCCUGCAAUCAUUGUUGACAUAAAUAAUGUUAAGGAAACUAUAUUCAAACAUAUUUUUUUAAUCAAAUUUUGGAUUAGCUCCUAGAAUAAAGUUAAUCCUCGGGUAUAACCUUGAAUGAUAUGGUAUUACAGCCUUGCUAGGAUGAAUUUUAUAGGCUAUUUUACCUAUUCUUUUAUAAUCAUAAGUGUAGUUGCUCGCUAAUAGAAUCUUAACCAUUGGAAUAAACUGUCUGCUUUUAUUAUAUUGAGGCCUUAAGCUUACUGAAGAGCUUUGAGAUCUUUCAUUCUUCAUAUCUGAUAUAUUCUUUAAGAUCAUCGAUUGUGAGAAACUUCUCUGAAUGUGUGAACUUUGAGUCUUUCGAAGAACUCUGGGUAAUUUGCCCUUCAAUUUGAUAUUUGAAAUAGACUUUUUUUUAGUAUAUUACUAAUAUAUUAUUGUCAGGUCUAGACUUCUAGAUUAUUUUGAAAAUUUUUGGUUGGACAAAGUUUGCAUAAUUCUUUAUAGGCAUCAACUAUCAUUGCAAGCCCAUUAUAAAUCAUUUGAUUGCCCUGGAGAAGCAAUUCUUAACCUUUAGAGCACAUAAUUAUGCUCUUCAGUAUUUUGGAAAGACUUUUUUGCAUUGUCUUUUAUGCUAAGAAAAUUUACAACACAAUUGUUAGAUCCUUUAAUAUACUUAAUUUCAAAAUCAUAUUCAACAAAGAACUACUACUGUUUCAUAUUGAGGUAGAUUGGACAAUUUAUUAAAAAUAUAUCAUUUGACUUUAUUAUUAUUAGAUCUUACCUUAAAUUUCUUUGGUAGCAAAAGGAAUGUAAAUUUAGCUAUUCCAUUUGUAAUAGCUAAUAAUUCUUUUUUUAUUACUAUGUUAAUUCCUUUCUACGAGUUUAAAGGUUUCGCCGGUAUAUCUACAAAUCUUUUCUUGGUAUGUUUUUAGUACUGCACCCCAAUGAUUAUCUAAAGCAUCAGUUUCAAUAAUCAAAUUAUCAUUACUAGUAGAAAAUCUUAAAUCUUGGUAAAUUUUUUGCAUCUUUCUUUUAACCUCUUUACCACGUUGGUAUGGAGAUCUUCCUAAGAUUUUGUAUUAUCAUUUUUUAGGGAAAUUAUCCACCGUCCACUAAUUUUUUCACCGCUUUUCAAAAAUACACAAAUCUUUUUUUUUUUUUUUUUUUGCAGCGCUCCACCUGAAGUUAACAUUUUUUUCAUUGGUUCACUCUCGUUAUAACACCGUUAGAACUUUGCUGACAUCAUAAGGGUAAAAUUGUCAUUUCACAACGAAACAGUGGUGGAAAAGUGCAAAACAAUAUAACUUCAAGUGGAGUUCAGUAAAAAAAAAAAAAAUUAAGAAUUGUAUAUUUUUGAAAAAAUAUGAAAAAAAAGUGGUGGGUAGAUAAUUUAUCUUUUACAUUUGAGGGUAAAAAAAUCAUUUACACAAUAUUCCUUUAGUUUUCUUAACGGUCUCUAAACGGAAGUGGACAAGUGAAAAGAAAUGUAAUUUCAGAUGGAUUCCAGCAAAAAAAAAAAAAGAAUUGUGUAUUUUUUAAAAAGCCCGAAAGAACAGGUGGUCGGUGGAUAAUUUCCCAAUUUUUUAAUAAUCCUUGUAAAGUUUGUCUUUUUUUAGCUAAAUUUUCUAUGAAACCUUCAGCAUGGUUAAGACAUCAUAAAAAUAUUUGAAUAUGCUCUUUAGAUUCUAAUUUAUUCAGAAAAAAGUAUAUUUUUUAAAAAAAUAUGAGGUUGCAUUUCAAUUUCUGUUUCAUCUAUUAUCAAUCCUAGAAACCCUAUUCUAGGUUUCAUUAUUUCAACUUUCUUGUUAGAAAGUAUGUCCUAUGUUUCUUGCAGUUUUCUGCAAAAGAAACAAGAUGAUUAAUAUGAUUAACUUCAUUAUUCAAAAAUAUUAUAAUAUCAUUAACAUAAACGAUGCAAAAUUCAUGAAAUUCCUUAAAGAUUUUAUCCAUCUUUCUUUAAAAUAUUUGUGGUGCAUUUUUUAAUUCAAAAGGCAUCACAAUCCAUUCAUAUUGUCCUUGAGGUGUGCUAAAGGCAGUAAACGGUAUACUUUCUUCUUCAAUUUUAAUUUGCCAAAAUCCAAAUUUGCAAUUCAGCUUGCUAAAUAUUUUUUUAUUAAUUGUAGAAGUAAUAAUAAUCAAAUUUGGUAUAUUUAUUUAAUUUUUUGUAGUUAAUAAUCGUACGAGCUUUUUCGCGAUUAAUCUUUGCAUAAUCCCUUACCAUAAAGAUUAAGCUACUAUGUGGACUCCUAGAUUCUCGAAUAAUUUUGAGUUUUAGUAAUUCUUUAAGUUGUUUAUCAAAUUCUAGUCUAUCUUCUUGCCUAUAUCUCAUAGGUUUGACUCUUGUGAUAAUAUUUGGAUCUUUCAAUUCAAUCUUAGCAUUUGUUUUAUCAAUUUCACAUAAUUGAAUUGGGUUUUUUGGUUUUUAUCAAGUACUUCUAAGAUUUUUUUCAUAAUCAUAGAUGAUUUGAUUAAUUUUUAUAUUGAAAUCACCACAUUGGUUGCUUUGAAAAUGUAAUUUUCGAAUUUUUCGCCUAACAGAGUUAUAAAUCCUUGAUGUUCUAAUGGAAUAAUUACAUAAUAUUUUAAGAGUAAUAGUUUUUUUUAGUCAUUAUAUAAAUGAACUGAUGAAAGAAAUUAACUCUUAAAAGUAUAUUUAAUUAAUUAAUUUAAAUAAAAUCUUUAUUGACAAACAUUUCACUAUUAGCUGAGUUUGUCAAUGCAUAUUCUAUGGCAUAUGUUAUGCUAUAUGAUAAGAUUCAUCAUGCAUUACAGUAAACUAUUUAAAAUCAUGACAUCGGGUUAAUAUCUUAUUUAUAUUUCUGUCUCAAAGACUUAUAGAAUAUUUAGGGUAUAUCUUAAAUUUUAUUUUUUAUAACUAACAUUUUCCAUGAAUUAUUCCAAUGAGUAGGCAUGGAAAAAAAGCCCGACCUAAAUUUUGGCACGAUUGACCCGAACCGAAUUUUUCGAGUUUUGACACGAAUUUAAGGAUUUCGGGUCGGGCUCGGGCUCGAUUAAAAUUCGCGCCAAGGUCAGGCCCUAGCCGAUCCGACCCGAAGUUCAAACUGAAAAAUAAAAAAAUAUGAUUUUAUUUAUAUAAUUUUAUAAGACAUAAUUUUUUAUUAUCUUUAUUUUAUGAUUUAUACAAUUAUAUGGUUGAGACUUUAAGUAAUUUCGAUGUUUAUAUAUAAAUUUUAACAUAUAAGGAAGGUUAUGUCCAUUUUUUUUAAAAUUUAAAUUACUUAAAUUUAAAAAAAUCUUAAAUAUUAUGAAAUUCGGGCUUGGAAAAAAGCCUGACCCGACCUCGACCCGAAAUUUAAAUGUUCGGGCUUUUUUUUAGGUUGGACCUUUUAUUUUUGUGAUCGGGCCCAACCCGAUAAAUUGCCAUCUUUACCAAGGUGUGUAAGUUUUCGAUCUUUUAUUCUAUUAUCUAGUACAACUAGAUUUACUGAACUAUCUAUUCCUUCUCUAAAAUGAGCUUUUAUUAAAAUUUGGAUUCCUCCAAUAAAAAAAAAUCCAAUCUUAGGUCUAUCAUUGGAUCUUUUUCUAUUAAUUUUAUCUUCUAUAUUUGAUUUUAAUAAUAAAGGUAUAUUUGUAUUUCCUUUGGCAUAUCUAAUUUCAAUAGGUUCUUCUCUUAUAAUGGCACUGAGAUACAUUAUAUUUUUUCUUUUAAUAAUAUUAGCAAUUCCCUAUGCUAACUUAUUGACUGAGGUAAAAAAUACUUACAAUUCCCUGUCAUUAAUCUAAAGGUAUUUUUUUUUAUCAAAAAUUAAUCCUCAAUGAAAAGAAUCUUGUUCUUCUAAUUCUUCAUCCUGAUACAAAUCUCUAUUAUCUAAUUCUUCUACACUCAUUCUAAAUCCGAGCUACUUAAAGUCUCGUCAGAUAUAUAGUAUAUGCUAUCAUUAUCACUAAUUUCUUCACUAUCAGUGAUUAAAAUCUAAAUCAUUGAAAUCCUCAAACAUUUUGUUAUUUGCUUUUUUCUUUUUAUGACAUUUACUUGCAUAAUGCCCUUCUUCAUUGCAUAACUAGAAUUUACACUUUUUAGAUGCGUUGGUGUUAGAUUUUCUUUUAAAUUUAUUCCUUUUGAAGAAUUUCUUAUAUUUAUUUUUCUUGUAAUAUUUCUUAUUGGUUUUAUUGAAUUUCUUCUUAUGUUUAUAGGUUUUAUCUGAACAUCCAAAUCUUGGUGCAUCUUCUAACCUAGAACAACACAAUCCUCGAUUUUUCUUUUUAAUAAAUCUUUUAUCUCUUAUUUCAACACGCCACUAAUUUAUUCUAUUUCGACCAAAUUUGAUCCUAUUUCCUAGGGUAUCAGUGUCUGUAGCAUCUUUGUAUUCUUUGCUAUAUUCUAGCAUAAUCCUUUUCCUUUAUGGGUCUGGUAUUUCUAUAAAAUAUAAAUAAUUAUAAUAUAACUCCUCAAAGCUACAUAUGUAAUCCUUUAAAUAAAUAUAUAACGUAUUUUGAGCCUUGUUAGCUUCAUUACAUUUUCCAUCCUUUUUUCUCUUUACUUCUUGCUGAAAAUCAGCUUCCUAAUAUUCUCCUAGGAAUUCUUUUCUUAUUUCAUUCUCAAAUCUAUUUAAGAUCUAAUCUAUAUUUUUGUUUGGAUUAUUAUUUUCUCCAUACAAUAUUCUAUGUUUACUAGUAUCUUUUAAUCCCAUAAACCAUUGUGCUACUAUUCCUAUAAACAAAGUUUUAAAGAAUUCUAUACUAUUAUUUCUAUCAACCUUAUGAAAUACAAAAGCAAUUUUCAUGCAUUUAACCUAAGCAGUUAUUGUUUUAUCUCUAUCUUUGACACAAUCUAAAUCUAACCAUACUCCAUCAUGACUAAUUAGUCUAUCUCGAUACUCUUAUAGAGUUCUAUAUUCUUUUUAAGUUUGCUAGAUGGCUUACUAGACUUAAAAUAUUGACUUUGUGGUAUUUUAUAAGUUGGUAUGUCUUCUCUAGCAUAAGAAGCUCUAUUACUAGAUUCUCUUUAUUCAAAAUCUCUUGACUUUGACUCAUUCAUCUUUAGAUGUUCAAUUCUAUUUUCAAUAUCUUGUCAAUUUAUAAAUAUAUCUUCUUUUUCAUCAGUUUCAAAUUCUUUAUCUUUAUUAGAUAAGUCUGGAUUUGAUAAUUCUUUUAAUCCAUUGCCUAUGUUUUCACUUAAUACUCUCAAACUUAUUAAUUUUUUAUUUCCAUCUAUUUUGUUAAAUAACGGUCUUGAUAUUGAUUGAAUUCAUUAAUUUUCUUUUCAUUAUAGUAAAUUAUGGUAUCUUUUAAAAAAUUUAUUUUGUUCUUGAAUUACCAUAAGUAAUUCUUCCAUAAUGUUUUUGAUCUUUUGUACUUCAAUCUUCUUGUAACUUUCUAUUUAUAUUUAUUGAAAACUUAUUACCAAGUUGCUCAAUAAUUUUUUCAAUUUUAUUUAAUCGAACUUCUAUCUUAUUUAAUAUUUCAUUUAUUGAAUUUCUAUUCAUAACAUUGAUGAUUUCUUAUUUUAAUGUAUCCUAAUCUUUAAUGUUGAAGCCUUCUAUUAAUUCUUUAAUUUAACUUAAUCUUUAACUUUCUUAUUUUAAUUUAACUUAAUCUUUAAUGUUGAGGCCUUUUAUUUUAGUUUAUCCUAAUCUCUGUAACUAGAAGGUGGGAGCCUAAUAAUUUCUAUAUUUUGAGAAAUUAUUAGUGGUUUUGGUAGUUUAUUCAUUCUACCAUCUUUCCAAUAAUUCAUUAGAUUCAAUAAGAUAUUUACAACAUAUGAUAUUUCUUAUUUCUUUUGGAAUAUUGUUCUCCUCUAAUCCUUUAUGUAUAAGAUAGAGUUUAUACAUAAAUAAAUCUUUAUAUUUUAUACAUAAAUAAAUCCUUAUAUCUAGUUAACAUAUUAUAGAAAGGAGAGUUUUUACAUCUAAGCUUCUUAUUAUUCCAAUUAUAUUCAUCUUUUUGUUUAAUAGAUAAUCGUCUAUUAUAAUCAAUCACAAGAUCUUCAACAUAAUCAUUAACAAAAUUGAUAUUCCAUUGUUUUCAUGAAAAAUUAUCCCUAGAAACUUCUUCUCUAGUUCUACUUAAUAGAAUAUGACGUGUUUGAAUUUCUAUUUCUUAUUAUUUCAAGUUCUCCUACUUUGAAUUCCUAGACAUGUGAUAAAUACAAUUGUUCUAAAUAUUUAAUAUCUAAAUCAUUUUGAUCCAAGGAUUAAUAUUGUCCAUGUUUAGUUAUAUUAUCCUUGAGCAUUUUAUUAUCUAUCACUAGAUAAUUAUUUAUGAAAUAAACGAUUGUUUCUUUCAUUUUUUAUUUUUGAUUUUAAAAUACUUAGGUACAUGGCUUGUUACACCGAUCGUGCAAACUGAUAUAGAUCCUAUUUAAGUUAAUCAUCAGAAUAUAUAAAGCCAGUUUCCUACCAAUACACGAUAAUAUUUCAAAAUCUUUUGAACUAAAACUUGGCUCUGAUACCAUUUUUCUGAGCUUAGCUUCGCUUUUAUCAAAUUAUUUAGAAAAACUAUUUAUUUUCAAAAUUGAUAACUUUUCAGGGAUCUAAAUGUAUUUUUCUGUCUUCUUUAUUUUCCUUUAUCUUUUUUCAUUGGAAAAAGAAAAGUCUUUUGCUUUCACGACUUGGUAAAGCAUUGAAAUUCAUAAAAAGAGAAUUUUCAUAGCAAUAUUUUCAACCACACAAAUUACCUCAUUUAACUCAAAGUAUGUAGUAUUUGUAUGAAUCUUGCUAAUAUCAAUCAGAAAGUGUCACCAUAACACAGACUGAAAGUGAAAGAGAAUAAAUUUAUCAUCUUUCUUGAGGUUCGAAAAUUUGAAUCUUUUUACGUGAUUGUGGCUUCAAAGACGGAAAUUUUAUGUGAUUGAAAUAUGAUUAGGUUUGAUUGAAAAUUCGGGCUUAGUAGUCUUCAACCCAUUUGAUUUGUUGUGGGUCUAAAAAAGUAAGUUCCAAAAGCGUAUUCAAGCAUUGGUAGUGUAAAUGUUGUUAUUUUCCAUAAUAAAACAAUAUAAUUUCUUAAGAUACUUAGUUUGAGUUGAGAAAUCCAAAAAAAAAUCAUUGAAAAAAAUAAAAAUUCAAGGUAAAACGAAUCCCAAAUUAUGUACGACGGGGAAGUUCAUGUGCAACAGGCAGUAAGAUAGAUGCAUGUCGCAUAUAAUACAUUGGGUACCUUCUAGAGGUCACAACUUAGGCUAUAUAUGUUUAUUUUGGGGUUCAAAACUUGCGACUAGACGGACCAAAGAAUGUGCAUAUUGCACUAAAAAAAAUGGUUUUAAGGUCAUUAUGCGACAAAAGACAAUUUCAACGAACUAUAUUUUGGUGCUACAAGUAUAUUAUACAUCGCUAUGAGUAUUUCGUCGCAAGCUUUAAAACUGUAUAUUAUACGCCCAAAGUGGAUACUUGUAGUCUAAGUUAUGACCCGCAGAAGAUACAUGACACAUUUUACAUGGCUGUCGCACAUACUGUGAUAUUGUGCAUUGGGUAAUUUUAUGUGCGACAGACAAUGGGAUAAGUGGUUGUCGCGCAGGCACCUGUCUCACUGCCUAUUGCCUAUGAACUUCUCUGUAGCACAUAAUCUAGACUUCGUUUUAUCUUGAAUUUUUGUUGUUUUCAAUGAUUUUGUUUUUGGAUUUCUCAGCUCAAACUAAGUAACUUAAGAAAUUACAUUGUUUAUGAUGGAAAAUAACAAUAUUUACAAUAAAACCCACAUCAAUUUUGAACCUUAAUCCUAAACUUAAUACAUUAAAAUUUAUAUUGUUUAAGAACAUAUAUUGACCUUAAGAAGCUCUCCAAUUUAUGAUUAUAUCUUUAGUUAUGAAAUACUUGUUUGAUGCUGGUAAGUUACUGAGAGUGAUGAGAUUUGAUGAUUUAUUGGAAGUGUUGAGAGUGUUGAUGCGUUGAUUUUUUUUUUUUUUUUUGUAGAAGUGGCAUUUGUUUGUAAUUUUAUUAAAAGUGAUAAGGACUAUUUAGUAUAAAAAAAACUAGCAUUUGGCUAGUUAUAAUAGGAAAAAGUUUGAGAGGUCAAAUUUAAAAAAUCCUAAAAUGUUUUGUGGCUUUUUCGUAAAUUUCCGCAAUCGGCCAAGGUUAGAUACACAUAUCAAAUUAGGAACCAUAUAAUUGGAAGAACAAUCACUACGGACGACAACAACAUCGCUUUGAUAAUUUAUUUUCCAUUUUUUAAGCUUUGCCUUGUGAAAAUGUCACUCUCGGCUCCUAUUCUUUAUUUCUUUUAAAAGUUUUACCAUUAUCUUUCAUUACCAUAUAAAAAUGAAAAUGGGUAAACAUUCUUUUUCUUGAUCUUUAAAACAAACAAGUUUGAUACGUUUUUAAAACAAAAUAUUUGUUUUUGAGUAUUUGCAUACCCUUUGCUACAAAUAAUAUAUUCUUUUACUUUGAUACCUGUAAUCACUGGCUUUCUGCCUCUAAUAUUGAUAGAAGUACAACUGUAUAAUUGUAGCAAGUAUUACAAAAUAAAUUGACCAUUAAUGCUAAGUACGUCAAGUUUUCUUUAAUAAGAAACUAGGUAAUGAUGUUUUAAUAACUAUAGAGUAAUCUCAAAUAUAUCAUUAGAGAUAUAAACAUUUAAGCAUUGAUUCGUAUAUAACAUGGUCGUGUUUAUCGUAACGCUUAAUUACUUCGUACAAUUUUUUUCUCAAGAGUGAAAUCUAUUGGAUUUUUAAAUAACAUUCUAGGCCUGGAUUUUUUGGGUGGCUGAAAAGCCUCUUUAUAAUCUAUCUAUUGCUCCUGUCCCUGAUGAUAUUGUUGAGGGAUGCAUAGUAGACUUCGUGACUCCUAAGGGAUCUUGGCAUUGGAAUCUCUUUGGCCAUCUUGUCCCUCAUAAUAUUUUGCUGAUGAUAGCCGCGGUUAAGCUUCCAAAUGCUAAUAGUGGCAGUGAUCAUUUCUAUUGGGCUCACUCCCCUUCUAGCUAUUUUACGAGGAAGUCAGCUUAUCAAUAGCUCAGUAAGAACGAUGUCUCUCAUGCAGAUCCUUGUUAGAAGAAUUUAUGGAAAUGGAAGGGGUCACAAUGUAUUAAAAUGUUUUUAUUGCUCGUUGUUCAGGGGAAGCUCAAGUGUAAUAAUGAGCUUGUUAAGAGGUGUUGAAAUUUGAUAGAGACUGUAAAAUUUUUUUGGAAGCUAAGAAGAUGAAGAUGAAUGUUCUGGAAUCUCUUCAAUUCUCAAUUCACAUUAACAAAUGAGAUUUUACACCAGUAUUCACACUAAACCCAUAUCAAGCACUAACUAAAUACAACUACAAACUCAACAAUAAAACAGAACGUAAGGCAUACUUAACAUACUUGCUGAGCUGGCAUAACUCUUAACUAACUUUGCUGACUUGCUCUUUAGUCAGACGUGCUGAGUAUGUGAUUUCUUUGUAUUCAUUAUGAGCUUCCUUAAUGAUUAACACUAAAAAGUAUACAUGUAAUGAGGAUAAAAUUAUUAGUUUUUUACUUAAAGUAUUGAUUAAUGCGCUUAUAACUUAUAAAUUAUAUGAAUACUCCCCUAAUAAAUUUUUAUGUUAAAUUAAUUCGCAAUACGUUAAUUUUUAUCUUGUAUAUAUUUUUUAGGAAUAAAGACGAAAUUGGAUUUGAAAGCGGGAACAAAGAAGAACUUCUGGAGUAAUUUGGAAUGCAUCAUUGAGGAGAUGUAAUUAAUAAAUAAAAAAAUUAAUUUAAAAAAAAGAAUGAGUGGGCAAUCACGUUGGUGAUGGUCAAGAGGCUUAAAAUAAAUAAAAUAAUAAUAAAAUAAAUAAAGAAUUAUGCAUUUCUUGCCUAUAAAAGGCAAGGAGAUGCAGGAACUGGGUAGCAAGCCGAGAGAGAAUAGAGUGCAGCUGAGGAUUUCUUUCUUUAUUUUCUUUUCUUGUUUUCUUCUGUAGCAAUUUUCUUAUAGUAUAUUCCAAAAGUUUGUCAAAUAAUAAAAAGAGUGUUUUGUUUUCUUUUAAUAUGAGUGGCUAAUUUUACUAAGUUGAGGUGAAUGAUGAAGCUCAAAGUUUCAAAUCAUAAAAUUAAUUACUUUCUCAAGUGAGUUUUAAGUUUAUUUUAGGGAAAAGGACAUUCAACCCCCCAACGUUUAGGAAAAGGGACAAAAAACCCAUCAACGUUUCAAAAAGGACUUAUAAUCCCCUUUUCGUUAAUAAACACCGUUUGUUUUAAUAGUAAAUUUAUUUUUAAUUUUUAAUUACUAUUAUACCCUUAUAAUAAAUAUAAAUUAAUAUAUUGAUUUGAGACAUGUCACAAUUAAUAAUUUUUUUAAAAUUAAAAAUUGAGAUACAAUUACAUUUUUGCCCAAAUUAUUUGCUAUAAAUUAUACCUUUCUAAUGAUCAAACCUUUCAUAUGUGAUUAUUACUAAUAAAACGAAAUUUGAUUAAACCCGUUUUCUUUGAGGAAUCAAAACCAUAUUAUUAUUGUUAGAAAGGUAUAAUUUAUAGUAAAUAAUUUUGGCAAAAAAAUAAUUGUAUCUCAAUUUUAAGCUUUUAAAAAAUUAUUAAUUGUGAUAUAUCUCAAAUUAAUAUAUUAAUUUUUUUAUUAUAAGGGUAUAAUAGUAAUUAAAAAUUAAAAAUAAAUUUAAUGUUAAAACAAACGGUGUUUGUUAACGGAAAGGGGGUUAUAAGUCCUUUUUAAAACGUUAAGGGGUUUUUUGUCCCUUUUCCUAAACGUUGGGGGGUUGAAUGUCCUUUUCCCUUUAUUUUAUUCUUUUUUGGUUAUUUUUAUGUCAUGUUAAUUCAUGGAUUUUCUUGGAUUUGUAUGGUAUUUUGACAUAAUGUCGACACAUUAAUGUAGUUGUGGCACAUUAGGUACUUGAUUCCAUAUUUAUCAACACACAUAGUUAGUUAAGAAUUCAAUGAUAUAAUAACUAACUGGUAAAAGUGAGGCAAAAUAUAAAAAUGAGAGAGUAUUAAAAUUAUAGUUUGAAUACUGAGAGUGGAUCUCAUAACCUUAGCAUAUUUUUAAAUUGUUUUCUAGUGAUUUCUUUUCCCGUAAUUAAUUUUUUUUGUUUUAAAUUAUUAUUAGAUUUUAAAUUUCCUGUGAUUCGACCUUGAACUUAUCAGGUUAUAUUAUAACUACACACUUUUAUACUUGAGAGUAAUACACUUUUGAGUCGUGUCACUUAAUAAGAGGCAUAUUCGCACUGAUGCAGCGUGCCGUCAGCAUGAUGGUGGCAUUGAAGACACUAUUCACGCUCUUAGAGAUUAUUUUGUGGUGAAUAGGAUAUGGGCUCUUAGAGAUUAUUUUGUGGUGAAUAGGAUAUGGCGGGAACUUAUUCCAAGCAGCAGCGAUUAUGGUAAUUUCUUUUCUAUUCCUGUACGUGAAUGGUUAUUUCAAAAUUUGAAUAAUAACAUUAGGCUAGAAAUUGUGAAUGGGCUUGCAUAUUUGGUGUAGCUCUAUGGACGAUUUGGUACUGGUGCAACAAAUAUGUUUUUGAAGGUAGUGCAACUAAUGUUACUGCUAUGGUGAUAGAUAUCCAGUCCCGAGAUGAGGAAAUUCAUAGAGUUUUUGACACCUUUGAUACUAAUAAGUAUAAGCGAGUGGAGAAGUAUUUUGGUUGGCUACCCCCGGUUUGGCCUGCGUAUAAAAUGAAUACGGAUGGAGCUUGUAAGGCAUCGAGUUUUGCUUCGGCUGGAGGAUUAAUUAGAGAUGCUCAUGGUGAGUGGAUAGAAGGUUUCGGCAUGAAUAUUGGGAUGUGUUCAAUCACAAACGCUGAGCUUUGGGGUAUGUAUCAGGGACUCAUUCUGGCUUCGAACAAGGGCAUUCGGAUGCUGCUUGUGGAGGUUGAUAGUUUAUGUGUUAUCCAAAGUCAGACUCUAUCCACUAAUGCAUCAUCUUCUCUUGUCAAUGGCACUGGGAGCUCCUCUCUCGCAAUUGGCAAGUUUCAGUGCAUCAUAUUUCUCGGGAGGCCAACCUUCGCAGCAGAUUUCCUUGCUACUUUCGCACUCUCACUUCCUCUUGGGCUCCAUGUUUUAUCUACCCUUCCCCUCGGUGUUGACGUUUACUUGCGCAGUGAUAGUUCGGGGGCUGCGUUCCCUCGUUUUGUUAAGAUUUAACUUUUGCUAAGCUCGUUUUCCUUUACCAAAAAUAAAAUAACAUUCUUGGCCAUUAGGAGAUUGUAAGGAAUAGAACAUAGUCGGAACUCUUAUCAUUGACUUUACUUUAUAGAAAAGCCAGAAUAACAACCCGCAUAAAUUUGUUUCGAGGGGCUUCGAAAAUUAAAGAUACCAAAAUAUUAGCUUGAUUAGGCGGCAAUGCUAAGUUUAAAUAACACUCAAUCAUCUCUAUAAACUACCCAAUAAAUACCCUCCGCUCGUUCGCCCUUCUUCUGUUGGGGAAAAAUCAGGUUUUUAAAUUUUUAUAAAACCUUUUGAAGAUCGCUCUCAUAUAAUAUAUAAGAAUUCGUAUUCUAGAAAUCGUACCUUGAAAAUCCGAGUUGGCUUUUUCCGCUGAAGUGAUUUAGGCUCCUAGAUCACGAUCCGCCACCACCACUCCUGUUAGAUCACGAUCCGUCACCACCACGCUUGUUAGAUCACGAACUGUCACCAAUGAUCUUCUAGGUUAUGACUCAGGUUCGAUCUGCACUUGAUGUGUGGGCGCCGUUAUCACUACCAAAGCAACUAGCACGAGAAAAUUUUUCUCUCAACAAUAGAGAGAAAAAUCUUAUUCUCCGAUUUGUAUAAAGUGGCUUCCUUUUUUCUUUAGAGAAAAUAAGCCUUAUAUAUCUCCCUUUAGUGAAAACCCUAGGCUCCAAAUAAUGCCCUAAAUAAAACUCACGUUAUUUUCUUUUUCAAUAGGGGACCCACCUUGUAAAAUAACAUAAGGCCCCUUAUACAAAAGCUAAUUAAAUGGAGCCUCCCACUAAAUGAUAUAUUUAGGCUUUUGACCCAAAUAGCUAGUUAUCUUACUCAUUAGUCCAGUAGUGGUGCAGUCAAUUAAAUGAGCUAACCCAGGGAUCAUUUGGGAACAUACAAUAGUGGCUACAAUAAUUAAGCCUGUAAUUAAACUAGCCCAAUUAUUUAAUUCCAAAUCUACUCCACUAAAAGAUUGGAACUGACUUCCAUAAUUGUAUGCUCGAAUAAUAAUUCGUCCCAAGCCACAUUGAUUUCUUUACUGCACAAUCCUUUGUACCACAUCGUUAAUUAAAUUGAUAUCUCAACUGUCCAAUUAAUUUAAUAACAUCUUAUUCCUUGAUCCUUACUGGUUUUCUCUAAUGAUCAUUUUCAACAUACUAAAUAUGUUGACACACUCUGGCCAGAGAAUUCUAUGAUCAAGUGCCGAAAACCCAUCAAGAGAUGUGUUGUACAAAUUCUAUAUUGUUAAUCCAUAACUCUAAUACUCAUAAUUGCUCCCACCAAGAUACCGGGUAAUCUUUACCACAAGGAUGUGUCGUGCCCAUUGGUAACUCAAAUGGAAUAACAAUUACAAUCAUGAAAUCAUAAUUAACUCAAGAUUAAGAUUACAGUAAAAUCAACGCCUAUGAGAUUUAAUAAGUCUAACAGUUAUUACAAAGUUAAUUAAAUAUCAUAUGUGAUCCUGUUCAAUGUAGUCGUACUACAUCAAUAAAUUCAUACAUGAUUAAGACAAAUCAUUCAAUGAAUUUAUUACAGUCUAUACCUAAAUAAAGUGCCCAACUUUAUUUAUCAACUGCGAACUAAAUUUAUUUAAUCAUAAGAUAACUUGUAUUUAUGUCUUCUGUGAAUCUACAUGGUGAUCACAUAAAUACAUAUAAUAUGAUUAAAUGGACUUUAAUACAAGUAUUAAUGCAAUUAAGAUAUUUGAAUAAAAUACCUCAUUUAUUUUAUUAAUCAGAAAAAUAGUUUAUUACAAUUAAAUAAACACAUAUGCUUUUAAAGAGCAUAUUUUCCCAACAAUCUCCCACUAGCUCUCAAAGCAUAUCUGGCAUAUUGCACAUGCUCUAGGGCUCUAAGUGCAGGUUAUAAAGGUUUCCCGCUAAUGGCCAUUGUAAUAAGAUCUGCCAUUUAGCAUCUAAUGUCAUUUGGGGUACUGUCAUAUAACCUUUCUACACUAUUCCCUUAUAAGAUGAUACUUCCUUUCAAUAUGUUUUGUUUCUUGUGGUUCCUUGGUUCCUUAAAUUGAGCUACCGCACUACCAUUAUCACAUAAAUAGUUUAAGGGGUGCAGUUACAACAGGUACCACCUCAAGAUUUCGUAGGAACUUGCGGAGCCAUAUAGCUUCUUUUGCAGCUUCAGAUGUAGCCACAUAUUCAGCUUUAGUUGUUGAGUCUGUGAUACAAGAUUGUUUCACACUCAUCCAACUAAUAGCUCCACUUCCCAAUGUAAACACAUAGCCGGAAGUUGAUUUUCUGGAAUCCUUAUCUGACAUAAAGUCAGAAUCAGUAUAACCCACUGGAAUGAGUUCAUCACCAGAAUACACAAGCAUAUAAUUUUUAGUUCUUUUCAGAUACUUUAUAAUAUGCUUGACUGCAGUCCAGUAUUGAGGUCCAGGAUUAAAUUGAUAUCUGCUAACCAUCCCUACCGCAAAACAGAUGUCUGGCCUAGUGCAAAGCAUGGCAUACACGAGACUUCCCACAGGGUCUGCAUAGGGAACUCGUCUCAUUCUCUCUAUCUCUUCAGAUGUUUUAGGUGAAUGAUCCUUAGAGAAUGUAAUUCCAUGUCUGAAUGGUAAUAAACCAGUCUUGAAAUUUUCCAUGCUAAAUCUAGCCAAUAUCUUAUCGAUAUAGACCGCUUGAGACAAGGCUAAAGUUUUAUUCUUCCAGUCUCGUAGUAACUUGAUACCAAGAAUAUAACUUGCCUCCCCCAGGUCUUUCAUAUCAAAUUAUUUUGCUAACCAAAUCUUUAUUGUAGUCAAUACUCCUAUAUCGUUUCCAAUCAGGAGAAUAUUGUCUACACAAAGAACUGGGAAGGCUACAAAUUUUCCCUGAAUUUUCUUGUACACACAUGGUUCAUCAAUGUUCUGAAUGAAUCCAAGUGAUUUAAUCGCUUGAUCAAAUCUGAUGUUCCAUGACCGGGAUGUUUGCUUCAAUCCAUAAAUGGAUCUCUGCAACUUACAUACCAUGUGUUCUUGGCCUUUUUGUAUAAAUCCAUCUGGUUGCUGCAUGUAGAUGUUUUCUUCAAGAUGCCCGUUAAGAAAGGCAGUCUUGACAUCCAUUUGCCAAAUUUCAUAAUCUAGCACUGCAGCAAUGGAGAGCAGAAUCCUGAUGGAUUUAAGCAUAGCAACCGUAGAAAAGGUUUCCUCAUAAUCGAUUCCUUCUUUCUGAUUAAACCCUUCGGCUACUAAUCUUGCUUUAAAUGUUUCCACCCUUCCGUCUACUCCUAUUUUUCUCUUGUAGAUCCACUUGCAGCCUAUAGGUUUUACCCCAUUUGGUGCUUCUACAAGUUCCCAGACUUUAUUGGAAUACACAGAUUCCAUUUCUUGAUUCAUGGCCUUUUUCCAAAAUUUAACAUCUCUAUCUAUUAGAGCUUCGUUGUAACUAGUGAGAUUUUGUACAUGUUCAUCUGAGAUAGCCAUAUAGGUUUCUCCCAAAAAUAUGUAUCUCGCAGGUAACCUAGUUACCCUCCCACUACGACAAGGUUCUAAAAGUGAUGGUUGUUCAAGGAUAAUCCUGUGCUGAUCAGCUGGUUGUUGCUGUUCUUCCUAUUCUAUAACAGGUGUUGAAAGCUGAGCAUCAACCUGAUCUCUUUUAUUUCUCUAGUUUUACCUUACUCUUAGGUUAUAAGUCAUUAUAGAGUCUUCCUCAAAGAAAGUAAAGAAUAUUUCUAUAAAUACAUUCCUAUCUUGAGGACUAUAAUUCAGACUUUCCCUUAUUCCUUUAAGAUACCUAAAACAUGCAAGCUUCUGAACACGAAUCCAUCUUGUCUAUCUCUGAUUCUAGUAGAAAUACUAGUAAACUCCAAAUACGAAUGUGUCUCAAACCAUGUUUGUGACUUUUUCAUAAUUUCUUAGAGUAGUAGACACCGAGAUAGAUGAAACUAAGUUCAAUAAACUUUGUAGUUUUAAAUACUAGUAUCUGGAAUAAAAAAAGGUAAAUGAUAAACCACUUAGUAUAUAUCUUGUCUUAUCCAAAAGAAUCUUGUUUCUCCAUUUAAUUACACUAUUGUAUUAUAGUGUUCAUUGACAACCAAAUAGUGCUUGAAUUCUCCAUAGAGAUAUUCUUUGUUUCGAUCAUAUCGAAGUUCUUUUAUGUUCUUUUAUGUUCCUGUCUAAGUUCUUUUAAGUUCUCCAAAUAAUGCCCUAAAUAAAACUCACGUUAUUUUCUUUUUCAAUAGGGGACCCACCUUGUAAAAUAACAUAAGGCCCCUUAUACAAAAGCUAAUUAAAUGGAGCCUCCCACUAAAUGAUAUAUUUAGGCUUUUGACCCAAAUAGCUAGUUAUCUUACUUAUUAGUCCAGUAGUGGUGCAAUCAAUUAAAUGAGCUAACCCGGGGAUCAUUUGGGAACAUACAAUAGUGGCUACAAUAAUUAGGCCUGUAAUUAAACUAGCCCAAUUAUUUAAUUCCAAAUCUACUCCACUAAAAGAUUGGAACUGACUUCCAUAAUUGUAUGCUCGAAUAAUAAUUCGUCCCAAGCCACAUUGAUUUCUUUACUGCACAAUCCUUUGUACCACAUCGUUAAUUAAAUUGAUAUCUCAACUGUCCAAUCAAUUUAAUAACAUCUUAUUCCUUGAUCCUUACUGGUUUUCUCUAAUGAUCAUUUUCAACAUACUAAAUAUGUUGACACACUCUGGCCAGAGAAUUCUAUGAUCAAGUGCCGAAAACCCAUCAAGAGAUGUGUUGUACAAAUUCUAUAUUGUUAAUCCAUAACUCUAAUACUCAUAAUUGCUCCCACCAAGAUACCGGGUAAUCUUUACCACAAGGAUGUGUCGUGCCCAUUGGUAACUCAAAUGGAAUAACAAUUACAAUCAUGAAAUCAUAAUUAACUCAAGAUUAAGAUUACAGUAAAAUCAACGCCUAUGAGAUUUAAUAAGUCUAACAGUUAUUACAAAGUUAAUUAAAUAUCAUAUGUGAUCCUGUUCAAUGUAGUCGUACUACAUCAAUAAAUUCAUACAUGAUUAAGACAAAUCAUUCAAUGAAUUUAUUACAGUCUAUACCUAAAUAAAGUGCCCAACUUUAUUUAUCAACUGCGAACUAAAUUUAUUUAAUCAUAAGAUAACUUGUAUUUAUGUCUUCUGUGAAUCCACAUGGUGAUCACAUAAAUACAUAUAAUAUGAUUAAAUGGACUUUAAUACAAGUAUUAAUGCAAUUAAGAUAUUUGAAUAAAAUACCUCAUUUAUUUUAUUAAUCAGAAAAAUAAUUUAUUACAAUUAAAUAAACACAUAUGCUUUUAAAGAGCAUAUUUUCCCAAAAUAAAUACCUCAUUUAUUUUAUUAAUCAGAAAAAUAAUUUAUUACAAUUAAAUAAACACAUAUGCUUUUAAAGAGCAUAUUUUCCCAACAUCUUCAUCAUUUAACAAAGUACACACAUCUCUCUUUUCUCUUAGAAAAAAAGAAAAAAUAAAAGAGAAAACAAAAACUUAAAAUUCUCAGUGAAGAGCAAUCUCUAGCAAUGGCCAAGGACAUUGAGGUUGGUCGGGAAGGCGAGUUCCAUGAUAAGGAUUACCACGACCCUCCUCCAGCUCCAUUGAUCGGCCCGGAGGAGCUCACCCGGUGGUCGUUUUACAGGGCUAUUAUAGCUGAGUUCAUAGCCACGCUCUUGUUUUUGUACAUUACUGUGCUGACAGUGAUUGGUUACAAAAGCCAGACUGACGCCAAAAACGGCGGUGACGGAUGUGAUGGUGUUGGCAUUCUUGGCAUCGCUUGGGCCUUUGGUGGCAUGAUCUUUGUUCUUGUUUACUGCACUGCUGGUAUCUCUGGUAAGUAAGUCUAAAGGCGUUUGAUAUUUUUUGUUGCUGUGUACAUGCACGUAUGUUAAUUUCUCAAAGGUGUUUGAUAAAAUUGUACGCGCAGGUGGACACAUUAACCCGGCGGUGACAUUUGGGCUGCUCUUGGCGCGGAAGGUGUCAUUGGUGCGAGCCGUAAUGUACAUGGUGGCUCAGUGUUUGGGAGCCAUAUGUGGCUGCGGGCUCGUUAAGGCUUUCCAGAAGUCUUACUACACGAGAUACGGCGGUGGAGCCAAUGAGCUCGCUGAUGGGUACAGCACUGGCGCUGGAUUGGGCGCUGAGAUCAUUGGUACCUUUGUUCUAGUCUACACUGUUUUCUCUGCCACUGAUCCCAAGAGAAAAGCUAGGGACCCGCAUGUUCCCGUAAGCUAUCACCAUUGCUUAUGCUUCACUGGAUACAAGAGAUAACAGAAAAUUUACCAAAAUCUGGUUGAAUGAUUAAUUGAUUGUUUAUAUAUGUUUGAAUUGAAAGGUCUUGGCACCAUUGUCAAUUGGAUUUGCUGUGUUCAUGGUUCACUUGGCUACGAUCCCAGUCACUGGAACUGGCAUCAACCCUGCUAGAAGUUUUGGACCUGCAGUGAUUUACAACAAGGACAAGGCUUGGGAUGAUCAAGUAUGCACUGACCGAAUUUGAUUCUAAUUUUCUUUCUAAUCCUGUUUCUUGUUAUGCCAACAUAAAGUUUAUCUUUUUUUUAUUUGUUGCAGUGGAUUUUCUGGGUUGGCCCCUUCAUUGGUGCUGCAAUUGCUGCACUUUACCACCAAUUCAUCCUCAGAGCAUCUGCUGCUAAAGCUCUUGGAUCCCGCAGAAGCUCCUCUAACAUUUAAUUAAUUUUUAAAAUAAUUACUGGAGGAUUAAUUAAUGACUGUCAAGCGGCUUCUGGAUUAUGGAAAUUUGUAUGUGUAUUAGUGUUUAGUAAGGGUGGUGAGAUCGAUUGAUGUCAAUUUGUGAUUGUCUUUCUUUUUCUUUUACUUGCUAGCAGGCAGUUGUUUUAAACGUGCCCAAAAGUUGUAUUAUGCUUUGCUUUUCUUUCACUUUUCUCUUCGGGAUUGUGUACUCGUAAUUUUAUUUUGGAAAAUUAAUAAUGAGUGCUCUGUGUGUUACGUGCUUGCCUCUCUUACUUUUAUUACACUAUUAAGAAAAAAUAUAUAUAUUUGAAAGGUUAUUCAACAAUUGGAAAAGUACAUAACCGAAUAGUUAAUCAUGUAGAAAAAUUACAAAAAGAAAAUAAAAAUAAAUGGCCAAAUUAUUUUUUAUACAAAAUAGUUUCAAAGCUUAGAAAGGGACUGAAUCACUGAAAUCACUUUUGGGCGACAAUUGAAUCCGCCCUCAUGUGACAUAAAAAAAUUCUUAUCAAUUUUUUUUUUUUCCAUUUCGUAAGUAAUACUAUAAUUUAUCAAGUUACUUGUGUUACAUAAUUUACAUUUAAGUGAGGUGACAACCGUAGUAUUGUUUGUUUUGUUAAAUAGAUAAUGUCAAUUAACACAUCAAUAAUAGAUAAUAAAAUCAGUCAAUCAACACCUUAUACAUGAUAAGUAGUGAUAAAUAACAACUAGUACUGAUAAACGGUAACUAGUUGAGAUGCAAAUUUUUCAUUUAAAUUCGAGUAGUGCUAGAGAGAGAGAAGCACGAGAGAAAUACGAGAGAAUUUUACUCUCUCUCUCUCUACCCACUCACUCUCUCAACAUUUAUUUUUUUAUUGUUUCUCUCGUCUUUCUUUCAUGCUUCUCUACACCAAACAUUUUCCUACGUUUCGUUGUGGGUUUGGUACCCCAAUCAUUUAUCUUUUAGCACAGUCACCGUUGGAUUUCAUCUCACAGCUGCAGAAGAGACACAGAGACGGUAGGGAGUA